GAACUACUUAUCACACGAACAAAAAUUGGAAUAUAUUGUAGACACUAAGUGAAAAAUUUUCAACUUCUUACAUUGGUACUGACUCAUAAUAUGAGUGCUUCUCAGAGACCUCAAAACUAAAGGAAGGAUGGGGUGAUAUCAAGGACAUACGUUAGAAAAUUAUAGAAGAUUCUAGAAGAUUUUUAAAAAGCUUUGUAGUUUGUAGAAGCUACUUGAGAAGUUUUCAAGCUCGUGGAAGCUGCUUGAGAAGCUUCUUAGCUUGUGGAAGUUGCUUGAGAAGCAUCCUAACUUGUAGAAGUGCUUGAGAAGUUUCUUAGUUUGUAGAAGCUACUUGAGAAGCUUCGUAGCUUGUAGUAUAUAUAGGAGCGCAGACUAAGGGGAUCCUCAAUCUUGACAACACAUCUCUUGGAGCUCUAGUUCAUCUCUCUAGUGUUGUUCUUGUAUCCAUUUGAUUAAUCUAGUUCUUACCUAAUCUUCUUGAGCUUCUUGUUUAGAUUUCCAGUCAAUAUUCUAAAUUUGUGACAACAUGUUUUAACAAACUUGGUGACAAUUCAAAAUAUAUACCAACAUAAAGUACUGAACAUUCUUAUGAUUUGUAUAGAUGGUGACUAGACUAAAAGUGUCUUCCAAAUAAUGAUGCCAUUCUUAAAAUGAAUCUAUAAUUGUAAGAAUUUUUUUUAUUAUGGAUCUCAUAUUUAAUCUCAACUAUUAAAAAUUUCUUAGAAUAGAAAGCUAUCCAAUGGAUCUUGUCAUCUACUCCCAUUUGUGAUAAAAUUACAUCCAUAAUAAAGCCUGAUGCAUCUAUUUUCAUAAAGAAUGCCUUGGAGAAAUUGACACUAUAUAAGAUUGAUAUAGAAAUAAAUGAUGUCUUUAAGACUUUAAAAGAUGUUUCAACUUCUUUGAUUUAUUCAAGUUUCUCUUUACAAAUCAAACCUAUAAGAGGAGUCACAACUUGAAAAAAAUCUUGAUAAAGAUUUAAUAAUAAUUAAAAAAUCUCAAAUUAUUUGUACAUCUCUAAUUAUUUUUGAAAUCUUCUAAUUCUUAAUAAUUUUGACUUUCUUGGAAUUCAUUAGAAGGUCUUUAUUGAAAAUAAUCUAUUAUAAGAAAUCAAUUUGAGUAGUAUAGAAUACAUACUUUUUCAUCUUAGUAUAUAAUCUUAUAUUUCUAAGUUUUUAUAAUACUUAAAAAAAAUGAUAUUUGUAUUCUUUUAUAUUUUUAGAGUAGAUUAAAAUAUCAUCUAAAUAAAAGACAACAAAAUCAUCAAAAAAAUUUAAAAAUAUCAUUUAUAAGAUGUUGAAAAGUGGCUAGUAUGUUUGUGAGUCCAAAAGCAUGGUAUUAUAUUUGAAAUGUCUAUACUUACUUCAAAAAGAAAUCUUCUAUUGAUCUCCUUCUUUGAUGUAGAUGAAGUUAUAUGCUCCUUAUAGAUCUAUUUUAUACAAAUUUUUGGUUGAUUGAAUUAGUUAAGAAGUCCUGAAAUCAAAGAUAAAUGAUACAUAUUCUUAAUGGUGAGCUUGUUAAGUCCUUGUUAAGUCCUUGAUACUCACAUCUAUAAAGAUUCAUUUUUUUUCUUCAUAAAUAAGAUAGAAAGAGUUGUCCAAUCAUCUUGUAGGUAGUUAAUGGUACAUCUGAAAUACUACUCCAAAAGUUGAUUAACUCACUCUGUUUGUCUAUCAGUUUGAAGAUGGAAUACCAAAGAUAGUUUUAUAUCCACUUUUAGAAUCUUGAAAAGAAUCUACUAAAAUUUUGAUACAAAUUAAGUUCUCCUAUCUGAUAUAAUAUCCUUAGGUAAUCCAAGAUAGCGAUAGAUAUUGUCAAGAAAGAACUUAGAUAUUUUUUCACCUGUGAUAGAUUUUGUACAUGGUACAAAAUAUGCCAUCUUGGUAAAAUAAUCUACUAUCACGAAUAUAGAGUCAUAAGAACUUGAGAUUGGAAGAUCCGUGAUGAAAUCCAUAGAAACAGAAGACCAUGGUUGUUCUGCAAUAGGUAAUGGUUGAAGAAGUCCGUAAAGUUGAUGACAAGGAGUUUUUGAUCUUGAGCAAACAUCACAAGAUUGUACAAAAUCUUUGACUGAUUUCCACAUUUGAGGCCACCAAAAGUCCUUGGAUAUGAUUUCUAAAGUUUUAUUGUAUCCAAAAUGUCCUACUGCUCGAAAGUCAUGAAAAGCUUGAAGAACACGUAAUUAAGCUUCACCUUCCAAAAAAUAUAGGCAUCCCUAAAAAUAUAGUAGAUUUUUCUUGAAUUCAAACUUGGAAGUAUUAUGAGACUUUGAAGGAUUUCUCUUAAUAUCAUGAAUAAGAGGAUCAGAAGUCAUACUUGACUAAAAUUGCUUAAUAAAAGUUGAAUCAACAGUUAGUGUUGAUAUCAUUACUCGAAGAUGAAGAUGCUCUAGCUUCAAGAGAAUUGUACAUCUCUUUCCUUUGGUGUAAGGUAAGUUCGUGUAGAGAGCGCAUCUGACAAACCUUGUUGUUUUCGUGGUCGAUAAGUGAUUUUGAAUUCAAAUCUUGACAAAGAUAUAUUCCAAUGGACUUAGUGACAAUUCAAAAUACAUAUUGACAUAAAAUAUUCAAAGUUCUUAUAAUUCAUAUACAUUGUGAGAAGGCUAGAAGCAUCUUCUAAAUAAUGACGCUAUUCUUGGAACAAAUCCAUGAUUGCAAAAAGUUCUUUGUCGUGGAUCUCAUAAUUAAUCUUGGUUGUUGAAAAUUUUUUGGAAUGAAAAGCUAUUGGAUGAAGUUUAUUAUCUAUUCCCAUUUAUGACAAUACAACAGCUAAAGCAAAGUCUAAUAUAUCUGUUUCCAUAAAAAAUGAAUAGAAAAAUUAACACGAUACAAGAUUGAUACAAAAACAAAGGCUAUCUUCUAAGCUUCAAAUGCUACUUCUGCUUCUAAAUUCCAUUGAAGUUUGUCUUUACAAGUCAAAUGUGUAAGUAGAGCUGCAACUUGAAAAAAGUCUUUGAUAAAGAUCUGAUAGUAGUUGGCAAAUCCCAAAAAGCAUUAGACAUCUCUUACCAUUUUUGAGAUCUUCCAAUCCAUAAUAGUUUAAACUUUUUUGGAUCCAUCAUAAGUCCAUCAUUUGAAAUGAUGUAUCCUAAGAAGUCAACUUCAGUAGUGUAAAAUACACACUUUUCUAUCUUGGCAUAGAGUCCCGCAUCUCUUAGUUUUUGUAAUACAUGACGAACAUGAAGUUCAUAUUCUUCUACGUUCUUAGAAUAGAUUAAGACAUCUUCUAGGUAAUAGACAACAAAAUCAUCUAAAAACUUCCAAAAGACAUCAUUCAUUAGAUGUUGGAAUGUUGCCGAAGCAUUUAUAUGUCCGAAAGUGUGAUUGUCAUUUUACUUACUCUAACUAAUCUAAUCAGAGUAAACCUAUAUAUUAGAAUUUGAACAUAGGGAAAGAAUACCGCAUGAGCUUACAUGUUAGGAUCACACAAUUAACUGUAUUUCGCACUACUUAAAACACCCAGGAAAUACUACAAUGCUUUCCACUUCCUAAUAAUACUCCACCAUCACCGAUAACAACAACGUGUAAUCCCGUACUAUCCUAAAUGAUAGGACAUAAUCAUACUAUAAUCCAAACUCUGGAGUUCUUCACCAUUAACUGCCUUCACAUUACAAUAUUUCACACAAACACAGACUCAUUCUCUCUGCUGAACUACAAUAAGAUUUCAGCAUUCAAUCUUUCUUCUUCAUAUUUAAUGACAAUCAUACUUCCAUUCCAUAAUUCACUUUCACAAUAUUCAGAAACUCUUAAUCUUCUUAUUCAAAGAAAAUAACAAACAAAAGAAAAGAGGUAGCACCAAGCUUAUCCUGGCUCACACUAUCACAGUCUGGCCCUUACUUCCUCUCUCCCAUCCUCCUUAUGCUACCACGAGAUACCAACUGCUACAUCUUUAAUGAAAACUGCUUUUCCUAACUAUUCAUCCAUUUUACCUACUGAACUACCUUUUCAACAGUCAUCUAUUCUUGUUUACACUAUAAAUUAAGUAUCUACAAUUCAGCAAAUAACUACUUAUUUUACAUAGCCCCACUCCCAUCUGUGCAGCGUCCUCGCAAACAUAGAAUCGAUACAUAACUAAAAAAACUUCUCCAAAAUUUCUAUUUAUCUGAUACACCCAAUUGAUCAAUUACUACAUUAUGUGUUAUUGGUUCCACUAAUUCUGGCUCUAGUCGUACGUCUUCAUCCUCUUCCAAUAUUUCAAGCGACUCCUUUCUCAACUGGGCUAAAAAAUCUUCAUUGUAUUCUCCCAAUUCAUGGACCUGAGCUUCCAGUUUCAGGAUCUAGGCAUCGCAAAGUUCCAACUGAUGUUGCUACGGACUCAUCCCUUCAAGGACAUCUUCAAUCGACACUUGAGAUUGGCUCCUCACAGUUAAUUCUUUCGUCAGUUUUGACACCUCAUUUUCUAAAACUUCAAUUUCAAACCUCAUUUUUCUCGUUUCACAUCUCAAUUGGUCACAUAAUAACGCUUUCUCUAUCGCCAAUAACUCAGUCUUGUCCACUUUCGCUUGCAACUGGCAUUUGAACUUCUCCCGUUCCAAAUCCCAUGACUUCCUAUUCUGAAUCAAUUUGUCUAGUUGUCCUUCCACAAUCCGUGAAAUCUGUUCUUUUUCCUUUAUCCAAGCCUCAUAUUAGAGAACCAAUUUCCGCUCCAUGACCAACUUGGCUUCUUCAAUUUCUUGAAUCCUCAGUUCUUGUUCCCUAAUUUUUUGAUUUUGAUCCGAUAUUCUUUUUUUACUGUCCUUCCAAUCUCGUUUACUUCUGUCUUCUACAUCCAAUGCUCAUAGCAUACAAUGUAUUUGCGAAAUGUGCUUCAAUAUGACAUUUUUAAGAGAUACUCCUUCAGGUAAUCGACCUUCUGGAAAUGCCAACUGAUUGAUAUCUAUCAAUAAUGGGACUUGAUUCUCCUCUUCCACCGCAACACCACAUAUUCUGGUGUAAUCGCGUCCUGAGUCUGCCAUCUUUGGCUCCUUUCAAAGAAAGACAUUCCUCCCUUGAAAUAUCUACCUGGAUUGAAAUCGCUUGAGUCAUCAGUUCCUACUGCCAUCUCUCCAAUGGGAAGAAACAACACCUUUUCCAAGAUUGUUUCAUCAAUCCCAAUAAUUCACCUUUGAACGACACUCGAUCCAUCCUCGGGAUCGUAAUUCUUAAUGAAUUCCUCCACUAAUGACACAUUGAUUGAUGAUAAACGCUCUAAAUGGUGCAAAAAUUGGAACAGCUUCGCAGUCCAAAAAUCUCUUAUUUUUAUCUACGUCCAAUAGAUUUCUAACUUCAUCGGCUCCAUAUUGGUAACGAUUAUCACAGCCGGUGGUUUUGCUAUGCGUUUAGCUCUCACAUUCCGGCCACUUUCAUCUCUGUCUACAACUCUCUUGGUACUUUCAAUCGCCAUGACUCAAACGCUUACAGGUCCUAACCGUCAAUGCGACUCUCCAGUAUGCCCGAAACACUAAAAUGAAAUAAAAUAAGCAACAACAGAAUAUAACACUAUAGAAUAACCCUUAAUAAGAGCCCCACUCCUAUUCUAUUACCUAGUGAUGAGAACGACAACAUGGUAUCUAUAUUGUCCAUUUCUCACUUCCUUCACAUUUGACACAAUAGUGAUUACUAAAUAUCCUUGCAGCCGCCUCUACGCCUUAUACCAUAAUUAGGUCCCUCUUGAGUCCAUUCAAAGUCCCCUCCCCUCAAAUGAAAUAAAAUCCGUCCCGGGUUUUAGGUAUUAUAUAACCGUAAACGAUUUCCAUUAAUGCAUGUACUGAAACGAUGGCCCAUGAAAUCCUCCAAUUGAAUAGACCCAUUGGAAAAUCCUUCAAUUACGCAAUAUGGCCCAUGCCGGUGAACUUGAAAUUUUUCCAGAAAAUGAUUGAAUCGGCUGUCAUACAGCAAUACCAAAUCAUUGGGCAUAAAACACUUCGGCCGUAAUUUACUAUCAUAGUAACUCUUCCUCCAUUUUUGAGUGGCUUCCAUGUGGAAUAGAGCGACAGCCCAUAUUUCAUCCAAUUCCUCCAAUUUCAUCAACCGAGUAUAUCAUACCCAACGCCUCUCGUUCAGUAGUAGUAUAGUUGCAUUCGACAGCCACCAAUUGUCGAUUGGCAUAAUAUAUGGGAUGAUCUAAUCCCUUAUCAUCCUUCUGGCUUAACACUGAGCCAAUAGCAGCAUUGGAUGCAUCAACAUACACAUGAAAUGGCUUUGUUCAACAAGGAGCCACCAAUAUUGGUGCAGAAACCAAUUUUGACUUUAAGACAUCGAAGGCUACGGUACACUCCUUGGUCCAGAGGGGACUAGUACCAUCGGACGGAGGUUUCUUUAGUAAGUUCGUUAAAGGUUGACAAAUAACCGCAAACGAACUUAUAAAUUGUCGAUAAUAACUGACAUGACCAACAAACCCUCGAACAUCGGAGACUGUCUCCGGUCUGGACAAGUUCAUGAUAUGCUGCACUUUAUCAAGAUCCGUAGCAAUACCACGACUAGAAACAAUAUGGCCCAAUAAUUUUCCAGACGGAACACCAAAUUGGUACUUCUCCGAAUUCAACGAUAUUCCAAAUUUGGUACAUUGAGCCAAACAUUUGCCUAAACAAUGAAGAUGAUCUUGUCUGGUACUGAAUGUACAAAAGUCAUCUAAAAAGAUCUCCAUAAACAUCCGGAGAUAGUCUUGAAAAGUCUGAGUCAUCACGCAUUAGAACGUGGCUGGGGCGUUACAUAACCCAAAAGGCAUCACGCGAUAAGCAAAUGUCCUCUAAUCCAUAGUAAAGGUUGUCUUGAGCUGGUCUUCUUUUACAAUUUGAACUUGAUUAUACCCGAAGAAACCAUCGAGAAACAAAUAGCAUUCAUGACCGACGACGGCGUCCAAUAUACUAUCCGUGAAUGGUAACGGAAAGGAAUCUUUUUUGGUGGCUGCAUUAAGUUUCUGGAAAUCUUGAAAAAUUUGGAUUUUUCCAUUCUUUUUCGGCACCAUCACAAUUAGAAAAACUCACUCACUAUUCGUUACCGGGUAAAUGAAACCCACUGCAAGAAGCUUGUCCAAUUCUUCCUUCACUAUAAGGAAAUAUUUAGGAUUAAGACAAUGUUGCCUCUGGCGUACCGGUUUAGCGUUUUCUUUCAAUAUGAUACGAUGUUUAUAGACAUCAGCAGGGAUACCUUGUAGAUCAUCAUAAGUCACAGCAAAAGCGGAUUUAUGAUGUAAGAAAAAAUCUGUCCAAUAGGUCAACUCUUGUUCCUAAAUACCUUCGUAGACCUUAAUUAGCCAAGGUUCGACUGUGGUCACUAAGUUAAUAGUUUGACAUACAGGUUCAGCAACAAUACUUUAUUUCAAUUCUCGUAGUGAUUUAAAGUUACUCGGUAUGUCCGACAUAUGCAAAGUAACGAAUCCCGUCUCGAGGGCACUAACAUGGUACACAUUGUACCGAGGUUUCCAGUCAAUACUAACAUAAGCAAAGUUUUCCGAAUCCUUCGAGUAUAUCAAGUACUCCCCCGGACCUCCACAUUGGUACACCACCUCAAGGUGUUGUGCUGCCUCCACAUUGGCCUCCGUACUCGAUACUUCUAUGUCAUCCUCGGAGCUAAGCUCUUCGUCCGACGUUAAUUCAGAUACUAGCAACUAAGACUCCCCGUGAUAGUGUACUGGGUACAUUUGUAACACCAUUUUAUCUACGCCCUUACCAAUUAUCAAAGUACCCCGAUCCCAAUCGUUCUUGGUCUUUGCUUGAUACAGCCAAGGUCGUCCCAAUAAAAUAGGGUAUCAUAAAGUCGAACGUUAUAAGCGAAAGAUAAUGUAGUCAAUUUCAUAUGCAAUACCUGCAAUUAUAGUUUAAACACUCCAUAAAAUACCCAUUGGCUUAACUUAGCUAUGAUCUGCCAUCCGUAAUACCAAUGUCGUGGGGACUAAUUGUUUCAGAUCUAAAGCAUCCAUUGUAUCAGCAUUCAUUAAAUUGACGCUGGAACCUCCAUCUACUUGGAUGCCAGAGAUCAGAACACCAUCAAUCAAAACAUCAAUGGUUGGUGCGCCUGGAUCAGGGUUCAAACUAACUUCACAAACUUCCAUAUUACGAUGCCGAUGUCUUGUUAGGGAUGAAUUCAAGGUGGAACGACACUCUGGUGCAACUGCUAGAAGUUGCUUCAUAGAAAUUGAAGGCCGAAUAGCAUUCAAAUCCUUUAAAAUGUUGUAGGGUUCCAUAUUUAGGGUAAUUUCCAAUGCCUUCUUCCGUUUCAUGGAUUUGAGUUUAACUCCGUGAGGUAAAUUAUUCUGUCGCCCUGGACUUGGAAUUGCAACAGCAGCUUGAGCUUCCUUGGGACUACCUUUUCCAAGGGGAUCUUUCAACGGAUAUGAUGCUUCUUGGAACUGCGGUGGGAACAGACCGGCUUGAGAUGAAACUGAAGACUCCGUAAUUGGAACCUCAUUGGGCCUCGCAACCAAAUCAGGGCUCAAGACUUUUCCAAUGUCAGGACCUGAAUGAGAUGGAUCCGUAAUUCGAUGUGAUUGGCCCUUCGCUUUAGGAUCUUCCAAAUGUUUAAUUGAGCCUUUCCUUUUUUGCUGACUCCUAGUAAGAACGGUAUGGACACAUUCCAUCCGAUUUACUGGAGACUCUUAAGGACCUCGAUUUAUCUCCUCCAUUUUUUCUGGACUCUGGAUCUGCUGAUCGCGAUUAUUGAAAUUGAAUGGAGCAUUACAUUGCUGAUACGUAUGCCCUGACUGCUUGCAAUUCCCACAAACUAGCGCAUAAUCGUCACUGGCUCUUGGAUUGAGACAUUCAUUGGCAUAAUGACCAAUCUGUCUACAACGGAAACAACGCAAUGGCCUUUUUACACCCCUAUCAGGCAUAUUGGGUGUCUCCACCGGUAUAUACCUACUAGAUUUGUUCCAUAUAGGUUGAGAAAAUGAUCUUGGUUGUCCCGGUUGUACUUGGUUCAAUGGCAUCGAUGGAGCAUAUGGCUGAUAUCCAUGCUGCUCCUUACCAUAGUUUUGAGGAUUUGAUACAAACCCCUAAUUAUAAGUGGAAUUCUGAAAAUGAUUGACUGCUCAAUUUUGUCGGUUAGAUCGAUUUUCAUGCCAUCCAAACGUAUUUCCUGUUUGAACUUGAUUGACAUCCCAUGGAGUUGGUGGAAUCAUGGUCGGAUUACUGAAUUGUUGUUGUCUUUGCAAAUUCCAACAAUUAGCGAUUAAAAGCUUGCCUCCACAAAAUGUACAUUUACCCAACACUUGUGACGGUGACGGACAUUCCGUUACCAAAUGACCGUGGCCCUGACAAUUACUGCACCAUACAUUGGUUCUAGUAUUAGUUGGCUUUUGCCUCUUCUCCUUAUCUUUGGCCAUAUUAACGGCCAUUUCUUUCAUUUUCUUCGUCAAGUUUAAUAAUAAGGCUUCAUUGGAAUCUUUUGAAGCUGGUAUUAUUUGUUUUUCUGCCAAAGUUGACUCUUGUGUUUGAUAUGGAAAAUAUGGAGCAUACGCUGUUGUGACUUGCGAUGGUAAAGCUUGCAAUGGGGUAACAUUAACUGGCCCCUGAGUAUUGGCACUUGAAUGGGCCACUGUUUCGAUCAUCUGUGGAUAACUAUCCACUGAUUCGUUCAAAGCCGGAUAUUGAUAAUUGCUUUGAACUAGUAUCAUCGUGGCACUCACAAUUAAAAACUGAUAAUAAUAGCAUUCCUCCCAAACCUUGGCUCUAUCAAGGGAUGCAAAUACCGUAACUGGUUGAGCUUCUUUUACAAACAUUUUUAGCUCUUGUGAGUGCAAACCAUUUAUUAAUAUAGAUAAUAUAAAUGCCUCCAGCAUUUGGUGGUUCAGCCACUUACUAAGUAUAUCAGCCACUCGACCAUAGUACAAUUCCACCGCCUCUCUUAGGAUCAUUUUGUUGUUCAUUAACCUUCCUCAAAGACGGUCUUCAAAACCAAUUGGUCAAAAACGGGUCAAAAAUGCAUUCUUCAAUGCUUCCCAGUUCAAAAAUUGACCAACUGGUUGACGGUUAUACCAUUCAAAUGUCGUAUCCUUUAAGGUUGCUGGUAACCAUCGUAACCAAAUAUCCUCAGUUCUCCCAUUAUUGGCGACACAUGCUGUCAAAAACUGCGAUAAAUGUUGAUCUGGAUCCGCACCUGGAAAGCCCCUAAAGGUAGGUAAUGGAGCCACGCUAGUUGUGCGAUCACUCAAAAUGACGGAUUUUGAAACACACUGAAUUGGCCCUUAUUGACCAAUAAUUUAUGCCACUCUAUGGAACCAGUUUUGACAGAAUCAGUAGUUUCCGCUAUUGGAAACAUACCCAAUGGAGUACCCAACUCUUUUGUGAUUCCUCCACUCUCAGUUAACGGUCUCAGAAGAAACCCUGGCCUAUUGACCAAAUUUUCCGCAAGUGCUCUUGGCAAUUUUUCUAACGGUAUAUACUUCUGAAAUAUUAGAUAUCGAUUAGCUUCUGGGUAUGCUCGAAUAUGACGACAGGCAUGCAACCAUGGCUUAAUCCAGCUUUGUCUAUGAUUCCUUUUUAACUUUUUUUGUUGCUCGUUUUGCAACAAAUUUUUUGCUUGCGAUCUCUCUAUUCUUUCUCUUGACUGCCGUAUUUUCUUUAUUGUUAAGUUCUCAUUCUUAAUAACCAUACUCUUUCAUUAUAUUCUUCUACGACUGCUACCUAUUUUCCAUCUACUUCAACCGGCAGUUAAUACCUAACACUCCAUGUUAUUAUCAAUUUCCCCGGCAGCGGCGCCAAAAUGUGAUUGUCGUUUUACUUACUCUAAUUAAUCUAAUCAGAGUAAACCUCUGUAGGAGAAUUCAAACACAAGGACAGAAUACCGCAUGAGCUUAUACGUUAGGGUCACACAAUUAAUUGUAUUCCGCACUACUUAAAACACCCAGGAAACACUACAAUGCUUUCCACUUCCUAAUAAUACUCCACCAUCACCGAUAACAACAACGUGUAAUCCCGUACUAUCCUAAAUGAUAGGACAUAAUCAUACUAUAAUCCAAACUCUGGAGUUCUUCACCAUUAACUGCUUUCACAUUACAAUAUUUUACACAAAUACAGACUCAUUCUCUCUGCUGAACUACAAUCAAAUUUCAGCAUUCAAUCUUUCUUCUUUCCAUUUAAUGACAAUCAUACUUCCAUUCCAUAAUUCACUUUCACAAUAUUCAGAAACUCUUAAUCUUCUUAUUCAAAGAAAAUAACAAACAAAAGAAAAGAGGUAGCACCAAGCUUACCCCGGCUCUUACUAUCACAGUCUGGCCCUUACUUCCUCUCUCCCAUCCUCCUUAUGCUACCACGAGAUACCAACUGCUACAUCUUUAAUAAAAACUGCUUUUCCUAACUAUUCAUCCAUUUUAUCUACUGAACUACCUUUUCAACAGUCAUCUAUUCCUGUUUACACUAUAAACUAAGUAUCUACAAUUCAGCAAAUAACUACUUAUUCUACAGAAAGGCAUGACGUUGUAUUCGAUAUAUCCAUGCCUUGUUCGAAAUGCAGUCUUCUAUUCAUCUCCUUCUUUGGUGCAUACUAGAUUGUAUGCUCCUCAUAGAUCUAUCUUUGUAUAGAUCUAUUUUUGUAUAGAUCUUAGCUUGAAUCAAUUAAUCGAGGCAUCCAAAUAUCAAAGGUAGUGGAUACCUAUUUUUUAUAAUGAUUAUGUUGAAUCCUCGAUAAUCGACACACAUUUGUAAUGAUCUGUCUUUUUUCUUUACGAAUAAAAUUGGAGUUCUUGUUGGAGAUUUGGAAUGGCGUAUGAAAUUCUUGGCCAAAUUUUCUUCAAUAUAUUCCUUGAAUUCAGCCAACUCAUUUUGAGAUAAAUUGUAGAUUGGUCCAAAUGGCAGUUGUGCUCCUUCUUGAAGGUCAAUUGAGCAAUCAUAGGAAUGAUGUUCCGGAAGAGUAUCUGCAUUCUUCUUCUCAAAUACAUCUUGAAAAUCUUGAUAUUAGCUUAGAAUGCUACUUGAAGUCUUUCCACCAAUAGAAACAGGUGUAGCAUAAAUGACACAAGGUGAUUCUUCUUUUAUAGCAUGCAAGAAAGCUCUUACAUCUACAAAUAUAGAUUUAAUUAUACUAGACUUAUAACUUUCUACUUAAUUAACUAUGCUCUUAUUUAUACUUUUAAAAAAUUCAAGACUAUGAAAAGUCCAAUCUAUUUUAGGAUUAUAAUUUUCUAGCCAUGAUAAACCUAAAAUAAUUGGAUUAGAAGGAGAUCUAAUGAUAUUAAAUAUUACAAAGUUACUAUGACCAUUAGUUGCUAUUUCUAUAAGAAGAAUUUCAUGAGUAACAUCUCCUGAAGAUAAUGGAUGACCAUCUAUGAUUUCUACAUGAACAGGUUUACUUUCUUCACUAAAAAUAUGUUAUGUCUUUUAGCAAAUUCUUCAUGUAAGAAACAUGCUGAGGCUCCUGAAUCUAGCAAAGCAGAGGCUUCGUGAUGUUUAGGUCUUAGAAUAAUAUUUAUCGUAAAAUAUGGAGAGGGUUCUAAGGAGAGGAUAGGACCUUCACUAUGCAUUGUACAAGGUUCCAGCCACACGAUUCCUAUUGUAGCUAGACAAAUUCAUUUUUUGACAUACUAUCUUCUUUUAUUACCGUACUCUUCAUUUUAUAGUUGCAUCACUUCUUUGGGCAAUGUAGAACAAUGUGCUUAGGUUCUCUUUAAUAUAAGUAAAAUCCUUCUUGACAACGACGAGUCUUUUCUUGCUCAAUAAGAGAUUUGAAACGUACCGCAUCAAUUUACAUAUCCUCUACUUUCAAAUGUAUGUGUUGAAGAGAUGUUGGUAUUGCCAUUGAAUUGUAGUAACGUUGAGGUUCACUUGUACAGCUCUCAUAUCGAAAUUCAAGAAGACGAUUGUCACACUUCACAACAAAGUCAAUUGCUUGACUCAAUGUUUGACGAUCAAGUAAGUUGAGCAUUAAUUUUUUUACCUCAUAUUGUAAUCUGUAGAAAAAUUGGCUAAUAAGUGUAGCAUUAUUCCACUUGAUAUUAGUUGCAAGUUGUCAAAAUUGUGAAGCAUAUAACAUUACUAAUCGAUUAUCUUAUUGCAAAGUACGGAUCUUAUUGAUUGUAACACGAAUUAUAUCAUGUUCUCCAUAUAUGGAUCAAAACUCCACCAAAAAAGCCUCUAGAUUAUCCAAUAUUGGAACUCGUCGUUCAAGAAAAGAUGAAAACCAUGAUAAUAUUGGACUUGAAAGAAGCAUACCAACAAAAUCUAACUUGCGAUCCUGGAGAUGGAUAGCUUUAGGAUUGAAGUUCAAUCAUAAAUUUUACUUAAUUGAUAAAUCCUCUAAACUUUCAUCUAAUGCCAUCAAACUUCUUGGGUAGGGUAAUUCUUGGUUCUCUAACAUUGGAAAGGCAUUCUACCAUAGGAAAAGGGAUAUGAUUUGGUACAGAUAUUGAAGUAGCUCCAAUCACUUCUAUAUCUACACUUUCUGCCAAUCUUAUUGCUCCUUGUAGUCAUAAAUUGAGUUGAUACAUCACAAGCAUUAAUUCCCUCAAUUGCUCGUGCAUUUAUGCCAUUGCACUCUUCAUUUCAGCAAGUUCUGCUAUGAUAACACUUAGAAAAGAGAAGAUGUCUAAUAUCACUCAAGACAAAUAGAAGAAAGGACUUGAGAACUAAGAAAAUACGAAGGACAAUAUCAGUUUAGAAGAGGGUAAUCUGCAACUUCUAAUAUGCUUAUGUCUUAUCAAGAGAAAGGGGUAAUCCAAUCUUAAUCAAGAUUAGACAAAGCUCUGAUAUUGUAAGUGUACUCUUGUCAAUCUAUCAAAGACAAGAACAUGAUAAAAAUAAAUAAAUAAGUGAGACUUCUCUCAAAAAAAGAUGACAAAAUAAAAAUAACUUGAUAUGUAUAUUAAGAAAGAAAUUGGAAUGGCUAUUGCUAAAAGCCAAGAAAACUAGAGAUCCUUGAAACUAGACUAGAAGCAAGAAAAGAGUUGACAAGAGUGAAGAAGGCUUCACUCUUGUCUCUAUAUAUACUAUCUAACUAGGAACUACGUGGCGAUGUUCUAUAAGACCUCUAAUAUGUGUUGACUUUGUACGACUCAUGCCUUAACUUAUAAGGCAAGUUUUUCUACGUGUGGGCCACAUAGUUAGUUUAGUCUUCAAGCUAACAACAUAUGAGGCACAUGGCCAACUUGUUGACCACGUUUUUACUCCAAAAAGUCAAUUAAACACACCUAUAAAGUCAAAGCAGCAUCUAUAAAGCUUCUAAGAAGCUUCUAUAGCAAAUAUUAUAUAAUUAAGUUACUUUUACUUACUUUUACUUACUUCUAUCUAUUUAUAUAUAUAAUUACUUGAUUACAUAAGUAUGUCCAUGAAAGUAGUGAUGGUUACAAGUACUAUUAUGAAGCUAAUAAAAUUAAUUAAUUAAUGUAUUAAAGACAUAAUUGUCAAGGACAUGAAUCUUAAAGAAAGAAAUCCUUAAUAUAUUUUUAUGGUACUAAAAAGAACUAAAAAGUCACUCAAAGAUGAUAUAAAAUUGAACUCAAAUGGCUAUUGCUAAAAACAAGAAGACUAGAAAGUCUUGAAACAAGACUAAGGAUUCAAAAUGCAUUGACAAGAGUGAAGAAGAUUUCAUUCUUACCUCUAUAUAUACUCUUAUCUAGGAGUGACAUAGCAAAGUUCUAGAUGACCUCUAAAACAUGUUGAUUUUGUAAGAUAUGUAUGUUAACUUGCAAGGCAAGUUUUUUAUAUGUACACCAUAUAAUUAGCUUGUUUUCCAAGCUACCAAUAUAUUGUCGAGGUAGAGAGAGUUUGCCUCAAGAAAACGUUGGGCUUCUGGCUGUCACUAAUUAUUCAAUCAAGCUUGAAAAUAAGGGAAGCUCUAAUUUUAUAUAUAAUUUUUCCCUUUUUGAGUAAUUACACCAAAUACACAAUCCUCAAGUAACCCACAACUUCCAAAAUAUGAUAAAAUCUUCUAAAACCUUGUUUAUUCUUAUGUGGAGAUUUUCCCAAACUUCAACACCUCAUAUCUCCUAAUCUGACCGCCCAUAUAAACUCAAAUUUUACAUGAGGUAUUGAUGUAUUUUUAUUAACUUCUACAAACUUUUUCAACCGCAAAUUCAUUGCAAAUCUUGAGAUAUCUUGAAAUCCCUAACAGCCGCUUCAAACCCUUAUCUUUAUACAUCUACAUGCAAUUUUCUUCAUAUCUCACAAAAUAUAAGCUCAAAUGCCACAAAAUUUGUAUUUAUAGCUUCUUAACACAAAAUUUUACAUUGUCCAAUAAGUUUGAGCCAAAAAUUCGGCCAAAAACUCAAGUUAUCGCUUCAACCAUUACUACAAAUAAACCCUCUUACUUACUGCUUUUGAUUUGGAAGCGUCGCCUUCAACUCCUUAUAAAUCCUUCAUUUGAACUCCAAAAGCAAUACUUCUUUUGUAAAAGAUGUAGGCCUUGAAAUCGCCGUUCCAGUCGCACCUUCCGAUCUUCAAAAGCUGUUGUAAAACUCCUCGUACUCUCAAAAGAGUAACAGUAUGUCUUAAAUAAACACCUUAACUUCAAACAUUUAUAACUUUUUCACCCUAAUUCCAAAUCCUCUAAUUUUUGUACACAAAUUUUUUUCCAAACCCUAAACUUUACAACCCUAGCUUCUAAUCACCAAAUGCCCUCGAAAGAAGAACCCUAAUCCCUAAUAAGGCCUCGGACAGCCUCCUUGAAGCCCAUUGGGCAUGGCCUUUGACUAAUAGGGAUGAAGUUUUCCAUUCUUUGCCUUCAUCUGACCAUGCCUUGCUUUCAUCCCUCUCAAUUAGCCUCCUAUUAGUUUAGAUUUUCAUCCUUAGGCUUCUACCUUCUUCCAAGGCUUCAUACUAAACAUUGAGGUCCUAUAUAUAUAUAUAUAUAUAUAUAUUUUUAAUGUCAAAAUCAAAAUAAGUAAAGAAACAAAGUAAAGUUUCUUAUACCAACUCCUUUUAAUUUAAUCUACUAGACACUCUAACAUACAUCUAGAUUUAUCAACAUAUGAUAUGUUUUAGCUAAUUUUUACAUACUAUAAGCAUUUACAGUACGCCAACGUGAUUAAUUUGUUGACCAAAUUUCUAAUCUAUCAAUCAACUACAAAUACAUGUAAAGUCAAAGCAACAUCCAUAAAGCUUUUAAGAAGCUUCUGUCAAGGACAAAGACUCGAUGAGGGAAAAUAUACACCAAAAGGCUAUCUCGAUAUAAUAAGUCAAAAUAUAAACAAGUAGGUAUAUUAAAAGGAAACUGAAAUGGCUAUUGCCACAAGACAAGAAACUAUAGACUCUUGAACCUGGACUAGAAGCAAGAAAAGAGUUGAUAAAAGUGAAGAAGCCUUCACUCUUGUCUCUAUAUAUACUAUCUAACUAGGGGCUACGUGGCGACGUUCUAUAGGACCUUCAAUAUGUGUUGACUUUGUAGGACACAUGCCUUGACUUACAAGGCAAGUUUUUCUACGUGUGGGCCACAUAAUUAGCUUGAUCUUCAAGCUAACAACAUGUGUGGCACAUGGCCAACUUGUUGACCACGUUUCUAAUCCAAAAAAUCAAUUAAAGACACCUAUGAAGUCAAAGCAGUGUCUAGGAAGUUUCUAGGAAGCUUUUAUAUUAAAUAUUAUAGAAUCAACUGACUUUUAUCUACUUUUACUUACUUCUACCUAUGUAAUUAUUAGCUUAUAUGAUUAUGGCCGUGACACUACCCCCCUUUCUAGAGUCGAGUUCCAUGAGGAGCGGUCAUCAUAUGUUGAGGAAAUCUAUGAUGCGACGAAUUGUAUUCGCCACAUACUCUGAUCUCUGUUCUCUUCGAAGAUGAUUGAUAGGGCCUCUCAACCAUCGGUAGUGUCCCAUACCAGGGCGGGAAGACCACCCAGUUAUUUGAUCAUUUUUGAGGCCUUCGUAACUUCCUUCGAAUAGAAUAUUCGGAACACCAUCAGGAGUUGUUCCUACCUCUAGCAAAAUCACCAAACAUCGAGAGUCCCUUCCCAAAUCGUGAUACCAAACGCGUUGUAUCUCACCAUCUGUUUGAGGAAGAACAUGUCGUUCUUGAAGAUCUUCAUCUGGAUUGCGUCGUCUUGAAGGUUGUGACAAUCGUAAUGUCUCGUCCGACAGGUCAGCAAACGAAGGUUCUUGAGUUGAAUCCGCUGGUUGUUGGCUCUCCAUCUAAUUAGCGUCACAAAUGCAAAGAAGUUACAAAUAAGGAUAGGAAAUUGAAUGUUAUCUUGCCUCAAUCUUGUCUCUUUUAUAAGAGAGAUUUUCAUCUUGGUUUUGAGGGAUGUCGUUGAUGAAAAACUUUGACUUUAGCUGAUGCAUUUCCUAGAUUCCUGGAUGGCUCCCAUGUGCGUUCACUAAUAUCAUAUCCGCGCUAAUGAACAAGAUAUUCCAGCUUAUUUCGGCGCCGCCUUGAGUCUAAUAUCUCUUCCACCUCAAAUUCUUCAUUAUUAUCUACUUCUAUAGGAGGCGGUGGCAUUUGUCUUCUUCCUUGUAUAUCCACUGUCUUAUAUGGUUCAAGAAGAGACACGUGGAAUACAGGAUGGAUCUUCAUUGACUCCGGUAGAUAUAACCGAUAUGCAACUGGGUUGAUCUGUUCAGAAACAGAAAAGGGGCCAAGCCUACGAUAGUCUAACUUGUCACAAGGUCGAGUAGUCUUGAUAUUGCGACGAAGUAGCCAUACCUUAUCACCCACGUUGAUUUGUGGUUGUUCCUUACGAUAUACAUCUGCGUUUAUCUUUUGUCGUUCUUGAGCUUCCUUCAAUUGCGUCUUCAUUAUUGCAUGUAACUCUGACAACUGAUUUGCCAUAUCUUCUGCUGCAGGAUUAUCAACUUUUAAAAAAUCAAAAGUAUCAAAUCGUGGAUGAUAGCCAUAAUUGGCAAAGAAAGGUGUUUGUUGCGUGGAAGAAUGUACCGUAUUAUUAUAAGCAAACUCUGCCAAUGGCAGAAGGGUUGUCCAAUCAUCUUGUUGGUAGUUGAUAGUACACCUUAAAUAUUGCUCCAAGACUUGGUUUACGUGCUCUGUUUGUCCAUCAGUUUGAGGAUGGAAAGCCGAAGAUAGCUUUAUGUCCACUUUUAAAAUCUUGAAAAGGGUCCUCCAAAAUCUUGACACAAAUUGAGUUCUCCUAUCCGAUAUGAUAUCUUUAGGUAAUCCAUGAUAGCGAUAGAUAUUAUCAAUGAAAAGCUUAGCUGUUUCUUCACCUGUGAUAGAUUUUGUACAUGGCACAAAAUGUGCCAUCUUGGUGAAACGAUCUACUAUCACAAAUAUAAAAUCAUAAGAUCUUGAGCUUGGAAGAUCUGUGAUGAAAUCCAUAGAAACAGAAGACCAUGGUUGUUCUGGUAUAGGUAAUGGCUGAAGAAGUCCGUAAGGUCGAUGACGAGGAGUUUUUGAUCUUGAACAAAUAUUACAUGAUUGUACAAAGUCUUUGAUUGACUUCCACAUUUGAGGCCACCAAAAAUCUCUUGAUAUGAGUUCCAAAGUCUUAUUAUAUCCAAAGUGCCCUGCUGCUGGAAAGUCAUGAUGUGCUUGAAAAACACGUAAACAUGCUUCUCCUUCUGGAACAUAUAGGCGUCCUUCAAAAUAUAAUAGAUUAUUCUUGAACUCGAACUUAGAAGGAUCAUGAGACUUAGAAGAAUUAUUCUCGAUAUCAUAAACAAGAGGGUCUGAGGACAUAGUGGACUGGAUUUGCUUGAGAAAAGUUGAAUCAACAGUCAAUGUUGAUUUCAUUGCUCGGAGAUGAAAUUGCUCCGGUUUCAAGAGGACCGUUCUUUGUUGCUCAAAAGCUACAUCUCCUUCUUUUGGUGCAAAAUAAGAACGUCUAGAUAGGGCAUCGGAUAAACCUUGUUGUUUUCCUGGCCGAUAAGUGAUAAUGAACUCGAAUCUUGACAAAGACAUACUCCAACGAGCUUGACGACGAUUCAACAUGCAUGCUAACAUGAAAUACUCGAGGUUUUUGUGAUCUGUAUACACAGUGACUGGACUAGAAGCGCCUUCUAGAUAAUGACGCCAUUCUUGAAAGGAAUCCACGAUCGCAAGAAGUUCUUUAUCGUGGAUCUCAUAAUUGAUCUCGACUGCUGAGAAUUUUCUUGAAUGAAAAGCUAUCGGAUGAAGUUUGUCAUCUGUUCCCAUUUGUGAUAAAACUGCAUCCAAGGCAAUAUCUGAUGCAUUUGUUUCCAUAAAAAAUGCCUUGGAAAAAUCAACACGAUAUAAGACUGGUGCAGAGACAAACGAUGUCUUCAAGGCUUCAAAUGCUGCUUCCGCUUCUUGAUUCCAUUGGAAUUUAUCUCUACUAGUCAAGCGUGUAAGUGGAGCUGCAACUCGUGAGAAAUCUUUGAUGAAGAUCCGAUAGUAAUUGGCAAAUCCCAAGAAACAUUGGACAUCUCUUACUGUCCUUGGAAUCUUCCAAUCCAUGAUUGUUUGGACUUUCUUAGAAUCCAUCAUGAGACCAUCAUUUGUUCUUGAUUGUGAUCUUGUUGAGUCCUCGAUAAUCAACACACAUUCGUAAAGAUCCAUCUUUUUUCUUUACGAAUAGAAUUGGAGCUCCUGCUGGACAUUUUGAAUGGCGUAUGAAAUUCUUCACUAAAUUCUCGUCAAUAUAUAUCUUGAGUUCAGCCAUCUCAUCUUGCGAUAAACUGUAAAUUGGUCCAAAUGGUGGCUGAGUUCCUUCCUUGAGGUCGAUUGAACAAUCAUAUGGACGAUGCUCAGGAAGAAUAUCUGCAUUUUUUUUCUCAAAAACGUCUUGAUACUCCUGAUAUUGACUUGGAAUGCCACUUGAAGUCUUUACGUUUUCAGAAAUAAGUGCAGCAUAAAUAGUAAAAGUUGAUCCUUCUUUUGCUGCGUGUAUAAAUGCUUUUGCACCUAUCAGUACGAGUUUUACUAUAUUAGACUUAUAAUUUUUUACUUGGUUGGUAGAACUAUUAAUAGCGCUCUGGGAAAAGUCAAGUUUACUCGAAUUCCAAUCUAUUCGAGGGUUAUAUUUUUCUAGCCAGGAUAAACCUAAAAUAACUGGAUUAGACGGGGAUUUAAUUAUGUUAAAAGCUAUGUAGCUAUCAUGACCGUCUAUUGUUACUUUUAUAGGAUGAGUUUCAUGAGUGACAUCUCCAGAAGACAAGGGACGACCAUCUAUGACUUCUACAUGUACUGGUUUAGGUUUCUGUACAAAGGGUAUUUUACGACUUUUAACAAAUUGUUCAUCUAAAAAACAUGUUGAGGCUCCCGAAUCUAAUAAAGUAGAGGCUUUGUAAUUCUUAGGUCCUAAAUAUAAGUCUAUUAUAAAACAAGAGAGGGUUCUGAGGAAAGGAUAGGACCUUCAUUAGGAAUUGUACAAGGUUCCAGCUGCACGGUCCCUAUUGUAGCUGGACAAAUCCGUUUUCUGACAUGUUGUCUUCUUUGACCGUCGUACCUCUCAUUUUAUAGUUGCAUCGUUUCUUUGGACAAUGUUGAGCAGUGUGCUUAGGUUCUCCGCAAUAUAAACAUAAUCCUUCUUGACGACGACGAAUCUUUUCUUGCUCAGUUAGAGGUUUAAAACGUACCGCGUCAAUUUGCAUGUCUUCUACUUCCGAAUGUACUUUUGGCAAAGAUGUUGAUGUUGCCAUUGAGUAAUAACGUUGAGGUUCCCGUGAAUGAUUCUCAGAUCGAAAUUCAAAAAGUCGAUUAUCACAUUUUACCGCAAAAUCGAUUGCUUGACUCAAAGUUUGAGGAUCAGGUAAGUUGAGCAUCAAUUUCUUUACUUCGUAUUGCAAUCCAUAAAGAAAUUGACUAAUGAGUGCAGCAUCAUCCCACUUGAUGUCAAUUGCAAGUUGUCGAAAUUGUGAAGCAUAUACUAUUACUGAGCGAUUUCCUUGUCGCAGAAUUCGGAUCUUAUUUGUUGCAACACGAGUUGCAUCGUGUUCACCAUACAUAGAUCGAAACUCCGCCAAAAAAGCUUCCAAAUUAUCCAAUAUUGGAUUUCGUUGUUCAAGAAAAGACGAAAACCACGAUAAUGCAGAACCAGAAAGUAGAGUGUCAAUAAACCUGACUUGUGAUCCUGGAGUUGGAUAGCUUUGCGGUUGAAGUUCAAUUGCCAAUUGUACUUGAUUGAUGAACCCUCGAAACUUUGAUCUCGUACCAUCAAAUUUCUUAGGUAAGGCAAUUCUUGGUUCUCUAGUGCUUAUAGGGUGUUGUACAAUUGGAGAAGGAACGUGAUUUGUUGUAGAUGCUGAAGCAGCUCCGAUCAUCUCUAUAUCUCCACUUUCUGCUAUUCUUGUUCUUUCCUGUAUUGGUGAAUUGAGUUGAUGCAUCGCAAGCAUUAACUCCCUCAUUUGCUCUUGCAUUUGUGCCAUUGCACUCUUCAUUUCAACAAGCUCUGCCAUAAUGACACUAAGAAGAAAAAUUUGUUUGAUAUUGCUCAAGACAAAAGAAAAGAAAGACUUGAUAACAAAGAAGAUACUAAGAACAAUAUCAGUUUAGAAGUAGGUAAUCUGCAAACUUCUAAUACACUUAUGUCUUGUCAAGAGAAAGGGGUAAUCCACUCUUACUCAAGAAAAAACAAAGCUCUGAUAUUGUAAGUGUACUCUUGUCAAUCUGUCAAGGACAAAGACUCGAUGAGGGAAAAUAUACACCAAAAGGCUAUCUCGAUAUAAUAAGUCAAAAUAUAAAUAAGUAGGUAUAUUAAAAGGAAACUGGAAUGGCUAUUGCCACAAGACAAGAAACUAAAGACUCUUGAACCUGGACUAGAAGCAAGAAAGGAGUUGACAAGAGUGAAGAAGCCUUCACUCUUGUCUCCAUAUAUACUAUCUAACUAGGGGCUACGUGGCGACGUUCUAUAGGACCUCCAAUAUGUGUUGACUUUGUAGGAUACAUGCCUUGACUUACAAGGCAAGUUUUUCUACGUGUGGGCCACAUAGUUAACUUGAUCUUCAAGCUAACAACAUGUGUGGCACAUGGCCAACUUGUUGACCACGUUUCUAAUCCAAAAAGUCAAUUAAAGACACCUAUGAAGUCAAAGCAGCAUCUAGGAAGUUUUUAGAAAGCUUCUAUAUUAAAUAUUAUAGAAUUAACUUACUUUUAUCUACUUUUACUUACUUCUACCUAUGUAAUUAUUAGCUUACAUGAUUAUGGCCGUGACAGCUUCUCUAGAAGGUAUUAUGAAAUUAACCUACUUUAAUCUACUUUUACUUACUUCUACCUAAUCAUGUAGGUAUUUAUUAGAGUACAUAUAUUUAUCUGUGAUGUUACCUAUGUAUAAUCAUGACUUCUAGGAAUUAGUUCCAGAAGAAGCAAUAAUCAUAAGUUGAUGAAAUCCAAGAUACAAUAAAUUAUAUUUGCUACAUACUCUGAUCUUUGUUCUCUUUGAAGAUGGUUGAUAGGUCCUCUCAGCCAUCGGUAGUUUUCUAUACUAGGGCAAGAUAAUCACCCUAUUAUUUGGUCAUUGUUGAGGCCUUCAUAACUUUGAUUAAAUAAAAUAUUUGAAAUAUUAUCAAAAUUUAUUCCUACGUUUAAUAAAAUCACCAAACAUUGAAAAUCUCUUCUAAUGUCAUGAUACCAAACAUGUUGUAUCUUACCAUCUAUUCAAAAAAUGAUUUUUCAUUCUUCAGGAUCUUUAUUUUAAUUACAUCGUCUUAAAGAUUGUAAUAAUUAUAAUAUCUUAUUUAAUAAGUCAGCAAAUAAAAGUUUUUGAGAUAAAUCUGCUAAUUGUUGGUUCUCCAUCUCCUUAGCAUCAUAAUUAUAUGGAAGCUAAAAAGAAUGAUAGAAAGCCAAGUGUUAUCUUCCUUUGAUCUUGUUUCUUUUAUAGUAAAAAUUUGUUAUUCUUCAUCUUGAUUUUAAUAGAUGUCAUCAAUGAAAAGUUUCAACUCUCUUUAUUGUAUUUAUAAGAUUCUUUAUUGGCUUCCAUGUAUAUUUAUUAAUAUCAUAUCCAUGCCAAUAAAUAAGAUAUUCCAACCUAUUUUGGUAGUGCCUUAAAUCUAAGACUUCUUUCACUUCAAAUUCUUGAUUAUUAUUCACUUCUAUAGGAGGAGGUGGCAUUUAACUUCCUCCUAAGAUAUUCAUUGUCUUAUAUAACUGAAGAAAAAAUACAUGAAAUAGGAGGUGGAUCUUCAUAGACUCUAAUAAAUAUAAUUGAUAAGCAAUAAGAUUGACUUAUUCACUAUUAGAAAAAGAUCCAACCUAUGGUAAUUCAACUUGUGAAAAAGACGGAUAAUCUUGAUAUUAUGACAAAAUAACCAUACCUUAUUACCUACGUUGAAUUGUGGUUGUUCUUUGCAAUAGGCAUCUACAUUAAUCUUUUUUUUUUUGUUUUUGAGCUCCCUUAAAUUGUGCCUUUAUUGUUGCAUAUAGCUUUGACAAAUGAUUUAUCAAAUAUUUCAUCACAAGAUUAUCAACUUUUAAAAAGUCAAAAGUAUGAAGUCAUAGAUAAUAAUCAUAAUUAGAAAAUAAAGGUGUUUAUUAAAUAGAUGAAUGUAUUGAAUUAUUGUAUGAAAAAUUUACCAAUAAUAAAAAAAAAUUCAAUCAUCUUAAUGAUAGUUGAUGGUACAUAUCAAGUACUACUCCAAAACUUGAUUCAUCAAUUGUCGUAUGGCAUGAUUUGUAAUCUAAAAAUAUACUAGAUACCUAAUUAUAGAGAGUUUAGCUUUAGCUUAUAUAUAAUAUCAUAUGUCUCAAAAAUCUUUUUAUCUUAUUCAAAAAUUUAAAUUAUAAUAAAAUCCUUCAAAAUAUUUUCUUUCCACAAAAAUUAUUUUUACCUUGAAUUUUGGAAAUUCAUAUCUCUUGAUCCAAAUGUUUAAUUUUUUUCAAAUUUCUAUUUAAUAUAGAUUAUAUUCUUAAGCUUUACUACAAAAAAAAUCUAUUACCGAUCUUCAAUCAUCUUUGAAAUCCUAUCAAGUGCUCUAAAACCUAAUCUACAAGCAUUUGAAAACUAUCAAUCUUAUAUCUCAAAAAUACACAAUCCAAAGACUAAAAAAAUUAUACAUAAAAUUUAAUAACAUGAUAAUACAUACUUUAAAAAAAAAUUAGCUAGAAUCUUGUCAAAUCCCUCAAGAUAUAGCUCAAAAUACAACCACUAGUAACUCAAAUUUCUUACUACCCUUAGAUUUGAGGUGUUGAUUUCAACUUCCAAUAUCUCCCUCAUUCUAGCUUAGAAUUCAUCAAGUAGUAUAUGCAAAGUAUAGCUAAGAAAGUGAUUUUUCUAAUUCUAGUCACUAAUUUUUAAUUUUUUUUACAUGAGGCGUUAUAUCCAAAAGAGUGAUAGAAGGUACAAAACUAAUACCUUGACUUUGAGCACUUAUAUCUCUUUCAUAGAAACUCCAAAUGACUCAAAAUUUACACCAUAACUAUAGCCAAAAACCUGAACUUAUCAAAUUUAGCCUUUGAUGUUCAAAUCUCCUAUAAAAGACUAAUCCUAAUCCCUAAUAUGGCCUCAAGUAGCCUCUUUGAAGCCCAUUGGUCAUGAUUUUUGACCAAUAAGAAUGGAAAUUUAGAUCAUUCAUCUUCAUUCAUUCAUAUGGGUGCCUUCACUAUAUUUUUUGCUACCAAAACUCUUCUUCAAUCCCUUUUCAUAUAAGAUUUACAUAUUAUAUGCUUUAAAUACUAAAUUAAAGAACCAAAAUAAAACUUUAAGGAUCACCAAUAUCUAACAAAGGUGACUCUAAAUGUAUAAAGUUACUAACAAUAAAACCAACUUCAAAAGUCACUAUGAAAAGAAAAUAAAAUUAUACAAAUUCUAAUGGUGAUUCUUUUAAAUAAUGUCUUUUUAAAGUAAUAAUUUAACCACAUUAUACAACCAAUUAAAAUCUAAUAAUAUAGCUCUCACCAUGUUGUUAAGUAAAUUAUACAUUAAAUAUAUAAACACAUUAUUUUCACAUAGUAGCCAAACUAGAAUACGACAUCUACUCCCUCCAAACCUGUCCAUCCUCCGGUAUGUACCAAGAAGAAUUAAAGUUGUGAUCAUCGUCAUACUACCUUUCUAAUAUUUUUUUUUUUUAAGAUCUAUAUUUUUUUCUUUUUUAUUUGUAAAGAAAUCUAUGUCUUCUCUAAUAUCUUCAUGAAAUUCCUGUCACCUUAAUCAAUGCCACUUAACAAUUUUGUCCUUAUUUUUUUAGCAUAUUUUUUUGUAAAAAACUUUUAAAUUCAUUUCUAUAUAUAUACUUACUAUCUUAUCAUCUUAUCUAAGUACACCCACUCUUUUUAGAUCUUUUUUCAGAUUUUUGCACACUCCUUUGCUUCUAUUUUUAUAAGCCAUUAAGCUAUGUAUGUACAACAAAUCCAUUCCUACAUAAUUUUAUAACACAUGUAUAAAAGAUAUUUUUCUUUCAAUGCAAGAAUACAUUCUUUGAUGUACCACUACAUUCCUCCUCUAUAGUUAUAUGCUACAAAAAUCUUUGAAUUCUUCAUUGAUCCUUGGUAAUGAAUUAUUCCAUAGAUAAUUCCAAUUGCGCUUAUGGUUUAUAUAUAUAGUUAGAAAUUACACUAGAUUUUUUCUAUUUUGACUUUUAAUAUAGGCAUAUGAUGAUCCAUCAUCCAAAAUCUUAGUUUCCAUUCUCACAAUUGUAAUAUAUAGUUAACCAAAAAUCAUUGGAUAUGAGGUAGUAUCUUGAAUAAACAAAUGUUGUUCAAUAGUUACAUCUCUAAUUUUUACCUUCACAUCAAGACAAGCACCAUAAAGAUCUCUUCACGUAUUAUUUACUGUCCAAAUCAUCCAACCAUGGUCAAUAUCAAUGGACCACCUCCCACAUUCGUAGAUUUCUUUUACAUAAUAUUAAUUUCAAAUCUAUGGUCAAUAAGAACAACUAUUGGAUCUACUUACUCUCCCAUUUUUACUAAAGUUUCUAAAGUGGCUCAAGCCCAAUGUGCUCUCGUAUAGUGUCCAAGGUCCUUGUCAUCAUCUUUAUAUUCAUCCAAAUCAAAUUGUACCUUUCGAUUGAUAUAACAUUUUACCAAUUCUUAUUCUUCUUUUUCAAUCAAGAUUGCAUCCAAAGCAUUAGAUACAAUAGAUUCUCUUAUCAAUUACCUCUUUUGCUUAAUGGUGUCAAUGAUAAUAUCAUGAAACUCUUUUUUUGCAACAUAGUACAAACAUAGUAUCUACAAAGUCAUUCUAUUCUAUGGCAUUCUUAAUUAUCGUAGCAGUAUUGAAUAAUUCUUGUCUUCUUAUUUUUCUCUUAUUAAUACUGAUAAUGGCAUAAUUCUAUGAAUCUCCCAUAUCUACAUGCUUGUCAAAAACAUCCUCCUUCUCUCUUAUAACAUAUAUACUAUAAGCAGUAAUGUUCUUUGAUGCCAUAGCCUGCUCAAAUAAAUACUCUUUCAAAACCUUCUUCAUCCCUUAUUUUUCAAAAUUGAUUUUGAGAAACUCACAUGUAUCUUGGAAUGCAAUUUUUCCAUCUUUCCAUAAAAAUACUCCUUAUUACAAAAUACUAGUAAAAUUCCCACAUUCUUUCUUAGAAUACUCAAUACUAUUAUACCAAAUAUAUCUCUAUAUAUAUCCUUACUUUGAUGCAAGUUUGAUCUUUGAUGUUCCUCUUUUCUCCUCUAACUUUACUAAUUUGAUUUGUAAGUCUUUCAUUCAUUUCACCAACUCUUCAAUUGCAUCUUUUUGUGAUGUAGCUGUAGACAUAGGAAUUGUAGCAGUGGAUAUCAGUAUAGCAGGUUUUAGUAGUUGCUUACGAGAUAUUAUAAUUGAUAAAGGUUUAUUUUUGUGAGUCCCACAAAUUGAUCUUAAUUAGUGAAUUAGUUAAAAAUAUAGUUUUAAGUCAUUCAAUUAUACAAAUAUUAAGUGUAGAGAGUUUUUUUUUGACUAUUUGAGUAUUUAUUAUAAUUUAGAAAUAUUUAUAAAUUUCAAAAGUGUCAUUAAAAGAAAAGUUAUAAAAAUGGAGUCUUAGUAAAAAUGGAGUCUUGGAGGGAAUUAUCUUAGUUAGUUUAGUAUUUUUCUUAUUGUUAAGUAUUAAGAGUUAGUUAUUGAAACCAAUAUCUUUAUUGGAUCCUAUCUACAUGUAUUACUUAUAAAAUCCUAUCAAUGAUUAGUUAGUAGUUAGAAGAAGCAUGAAAAAGAGCUUCAUGUCUUUUUAUUUAAUUAUAUAAAAAAUAGGAUUUUUAGUGGAUUUAAAUUUAUUUUAUUACUAUAAAAAAUUACCAAGAUAGUAAAAUAUAGCCUCAUAUGGAUAUCAAUAUUAUAAAAAUAUUAUAGGAUUUUUUAGAAUUUUUAGAGAAAAUUUUAAAAUUUUGGUAAAAUUGAGUUUUAUCACCUUGAGAGCCAUUAUGAAGAAAUGAAGCAAGAUUUGAAGACUAUGCAAGGUUUCUAGGCUAAUUGGAAGUUUUUGAACACCAUGGUGAAGUCAAAUAUGCAAAAAAAGUGGUUUUACUAGUAGAAAAUAGGAGGACCAAUAGCUAGUGUAGUCCUUGUAGGAAGAGAGGUGCACAAUUUUCAUAUGGGUUGUAGCACCUUGGGUAUAGGUAGGAAGAUAAGACUAAGGCCUCAAGGCCUCUUCAAGGGAAGAAUAUACACUACUUGUGAGCCUUGGUGAGGCUCGAACUCCUGAUUUCUUAAGCAAGUUACCCUUGAGGUAAAAAUUAUUCACUUAACUUUUCUAUUAUUUAUAUUCUAUCUUUAAUCUAUCAUAACUUACUCAUAGUAACUUGGAAUUACAUGAUUUUUAUGUCAUUGGAAAGAUAAAAACAUUAUCUAUCUAAAAAUAUUUUUUUUACUUUUUACUUUCACUUUUUAUUGGAUGAAAAUCCAGUGAACGGACUGUGACUUCAUUUUGGAUGUUGUGAUUACUUGAUUUCAUCUCUUUUACUUGUAUUGUGGUUGUUCCUCCUUGGUCUUUUGCCAAUUGCUUACUUUACUUCACACCACCAAUUAAAAGAAACUCUUAAUUGAGGCCAACUUGUAAUUGGGGCUAAGGAGUGAAAUUUACACUCACAAAUUUCUUGCCUUAUUUCUACCUUAUCUCUUUUUUAUUCUCUUUUAGUAAGUAUAUCCAUUGCUUCAAAGACCUUCUUCCAAUCAAUAGUGAGUCCAUUAUCUUCCAUAUUAUUCUCCAACAAUAAUUUCAAAUCCCUUUAUAAUUCAUUAUUGGCUAAUUGAGUAAAUAAUUCUACCUUGUCAUUUUCAAAUGUAAGCUUUUCUACCUAAGAUAAUUGAAGAAAUUGCCUUUCAAACUCUCAAAAUAACUCUAUUGCAACCAAUCCGUUGUUGGAUUUAUUAACCCAUUCUAUGAACGAUUUUUUAUUAUCCUUUUAACAUCCUCCAAAUAAUAUUCUUCUUUUAAUUGAAAGAUAAAAUAUUUCUAUUUUGCUCCAUGAAUUUCAAUUAUCCCUCUUAUUGCUUUUGUAGCUCUAGUACAACUACAAGCUCAAAUGUAAGGAUCAUUUUUUUUUUGUACCUUAUUAAGCUCUAUCUUCAGCAAAUAAUAUUUCAAAUAUUUGGAGAUAUUUCUACUAUCAAAUUGAUCUAAUAAUCCAACUACAGAUUGCAAAGCUUUAGUAGCCAUCGCUUCUUUGUAUUCUACUAUUUGCUAUUGCUACAUAAAUAUAGAAAAUACUUGAAAUAUUUGAGUUGAGGCAAGAUCAAGCUACAAUAGUGAUGCCCCAAUACAACUCCUAUUGCUAUCUCCAUAUUCUUCAUCCAUAAUAUAAAGCCAAAAACUACUCGUUAAAUAUUCUAUUCCAGAUAUUUCACAUCGAGUUUACUAAGUCUAUCAUAUUGCAUGAUUUUCUAUUUGAGAAUACACUAGGUACCUAGCUGUAGAGAGUUUAUUUUUAAUGGAUAAGCUCCAAUAAUUUAUAAUUUUAGCUUGUCCAAUAAUUUAUUUAACCUUUAAAGUAAAAGACAAAAAAAUAUUAUAAUAUCAAAAAGAUAUUAUACUAAUAAAACCUUUUAUAUUUAAGAAGUUUUGUACAUAAGGCUUUUUAAAAUAUCUAAAAAUUUCCCUAAUAUUCUUGAUUAUACCAAAUCAUAAUUAAUAUUUACUGAUAAGUUAGAUUUUCAAUAAUUCCAAAGAAAAUCCAUAAUCUCCUUUCAAAAAUGUAUCUUUAUAUCAAAAUUUAAUCAUAGCUCCAUAUAUCCAUCUUCAACAUAAAUAUAAAGUCUUGACUUCCAAAAAACCCCUUUAUUUUGUAUAAAAUGUCUAAAUUAUAAUAAAACACCUUCAAAACAUAUUUUUUUCCAUAAAAGGUUUUUUCUUUCUAAACUUUAGAAAUUCAUAUUUUACAUCUUACAUUUGGAGUGUUGACUUCAGCUUCUAAUAUCUCCCUCAUCCUAGUAGUAUAUAUAAAGUGUAGCCAAGAAAGUGCUUUUUGUAAUUCCAAUCGCUGGUCCUCUAUUACUUUCCGUACACAUGUAUUAUAUCCAAAAGAGUGAUAAUAGAUACAAAAUUGACACCUUGGCUUGAAGCGCCAUAUCUCUUUUAUAAAAACUCCAAAUGACUCAAAAUUUGUAAAAAAAUCAUAACCAAAAAUCUAAACUUAUCGACUUUAGCCUCCAAUGUUUGAAUUCCUCCCAAAAGACUAACCUUAAUUCCUAAUAUGGCCUUAGGUAGCCUCCUUGAAGCCCAUUGGUCAUGAAUUUGACCAAUAAAAAUGGAGAUUUAUAUCAUCUAUCUCCAUUCAUUCAUAUGAGUGCCUUCACUACCUUUUUUGCUACCAAAACUCCUCUUCAAUCUCUUUUCAUAUAAGAUUUACAUAUUAUAUGCUUUAAACACCAAAUUAAAGAACCAAAAUAAAACUUUCAGAGUCACCAAUGUCUAACAAAGGUGAUUCUAAAUGUAUAAAAUUAAUACCAUUAAAUCAACUUCAAAAACCAUUAUCAAAAGAAAAUAAAAUUAUACAAAUUCUAAUAAUAAUCUUUUUAAAUAAUUUUUUUUAAAAUUAAUAAUUUAAUCACAUUCUACAACCAAUUAAAAUCCAAUAAUAUGGCUCUCACCAUGUUGCUAAGUAAGUUGUAGAUUAAAUAUAUAAACUUAUUAUUUUCAUAUGAUAGCCAAACCACAACAUGACAUCGUAAUAGUGAUAGAUGUUGCUAAGAAAAAGCUUAGUUUUUUUUUACUUGUGAUAGAUUUUAUACAUGAUAUUAAAUAUGCCAUCUUGGUAAAAUAAUCUACUACUACAAAUAUAGAAUCAUAAAAACUUGAGAUUUGAAGAUUUGUAAUACAAUCCAUAGAAAUAAAAGACCAUGGUUGUUUUGGAAUAGAUAAUGGCUGAAGAAGUCUAUAAGGUCGAUGGUGAAGAGUUUGAAUCUUGAAUAAAUAUCACAUGAUUACCUUUGACAUUUGAGGCCACCAAAAAUCUCCCAAUAUUAGCUCCAAAGUCUUAUUGUAUCCAAAAUAUUCGACUGUUGAAAAGUCAUGAUAAGUUUGAAGAAUAUGUAAUCGUAUCCCACCUUUUAGAAUGUAUAAUUAUCCCUUGAAAUAAAGUAGGUUCUUCUUAAAUUUAAAAUUAGAAGUAUCAUAAGACUUAAAAGAAUUAUUUUUGAUAUCAUACACGAGAAGAUUAAAGAACAUACUUAAUUGAAUUUGCUUGACAAAGGUUGAAUCAACAGUCAAUGUUGAUUUUAUUGCUCAAAGGUAAAAAUGCUCUGACUAUAAGAAAAAUUUAUCUUUGUUAAUCAAAAGAUGCAUCUCCUUCUUUUAAUACAAGAUAAAAAUUUCUACAAAGGCCUUCAACAAAUCUUAUUAUUUUCUAGAUCAAUAAGUGAUCUUGAAAUCAAAUCUUGAUAAAGAGAUGUUCGGACAAGCUUGGUGACAAUUUAAAAUACGUACUAACAUGAAAUACUUGAGGUUCUUAUGAUUUUUAUACAUUAUGAAUAGAUUUGAAGCGCCUUCUAAAUAAUGAUGCCAUUCUUAAAAUGAAUCUAUAAUUGCAAAAGGCUCUUUAUUACGGAUCUCAUAAUUAAUCUUGGUUGCUAAAAAUUUUUUGGAAUGAAAAGCUAUUGGAUGGAAUUUGUCAUGUACUUUUAUUUGUCAUAAUAUUACACUUAAGGCAAAUUUUGAUGCAUCUAUUUCUAUAAAAUAUGCCUUCAAGAAAUCAACACAAUAUAAGAUUAGUGCAAAAAUAAACUCCUUUUUUAAAGCAUCAAAUAAUGCUUUGACUACUUUACUCCACUCAAGUUUGUUUUUAUAAGUCAAAUGUUGUCAUGUUGUAACAUGACUAUAUGAUGAAAGAUAAUAAUAUGGAUCUUAUUAUAGAAGAACCAAGUUAAAAGAUAAAGUAAGAAAAUAUAGAUAAAAGAUAGGUAGUAAAAAUUUUAGUAAUAAUGCUAUUUUUUUAAAAGAAUAGCUUUUACUUACUUUGUAGGACCAUAAAUAAUGUAAAAUAAAGUAGAUUAGAAAAAUAAAAGAUAUAGGUAUAUGUAUGAAGGAAUUAGGAGUUAAUUUUAGGAAAAUUUACUUCAAAUGGAAUAAAAAUUGAAACCUAGAGAAGACUAGUUAUCAACUAGGGUUGAAAUCAGACCUUGAGGCAUAAAAUCAAGCCUCAACAAUAAUUCUAAGGUUCUUUAGUUGAUCGAAAAAUAAGAUUGGAGAGAAAACUUUAUAAGAUUUUAAUAAGCAUUAAUAUUGAGGAUUUUGGAUGAAUAAUGACUUUAUAAGAGCUUUGCAAAAUUGAGGGUGUUUUCAGUGACUUUGGUUGUUGGAAAAUAAAAUAAGAUUGACGUUUUGGGUAAUUUUAGGAAGUUGGUAAUAGACUUACAAGUGAAAUUUUUUGGAUUUGAGGAUAUAAUUGUGUUAGAUGUGUGCUAUGAAUUUGGAUUUAAUCGAAUAAUUAGAUUGAAAAGCAUGAAGGUUUUUGUGGAUUAUAAUCUUAAAAUUCAGGGUUUUGAAGACAAGUGAGAUUUUCUUAGAUAUUUAUCAAUCCGCUAAUUAAAUUAAAGCAAAUAUUUUUAUAAAGAUAGUUAGCUUGAUUUUUAAGUAGUGUAUAAAGUUUGGAAGCAAAAUAAUGGUUCAAUCAGGAGUAAGUGGCUCUAGGAGAUUGGUAUCAAGGUCAAAGAAGGAUGUUGGCCAACACCCAAGCAUAUUUUUGAGAUUAUCAUCUAUUUGGUAUUUUUGAGCCUUUUUAUUUUUUUUAUUUUUAUUUUUAACUUAAUAAGUGAAGAAUGUGUAAAAUUGGAAUUGAAAACAAUAAUUCAAAUAUUAAUUAUUGAAUUUCAAAAUCUAUUGGAAGAUUAUUAAAAUUUUAUUUGAGAUUUUAAAAAUUGAUUAAGUUUUGGUUAAGAUAAGGAUUUGGUAAGGAUUUAGGUUUUGUUUAAGAUAAGGAUUUGGUAAAGAUUUAGGUUUUGGUUAAGAUUAGGAUUUUGUUAGGAUUUGGAUUUGGUUAACAUUAGGAUUUAAUUUGGUUUAGGAUUUGAUUUGGAUUUCUUUAAGAUUUCUUUAGAAUUUUCUUGUAUUUCUUUUAUAAUUUAUUUUUAAAAUAAAAUAAUAAUAAUAAUAAUAAUAAUAAUAAUAAUAAUAAUAAUAACAAUAAUAAUAAUAAUAAUAAUUGGACUUAAUUGAUGCUUAAUUAUAUUUAUUAAGCUUCUAUAGUAAUUUAUAUAUAAUUUAAUUAGAGUAAUUAGAACUUAUUACAAAUUUUUUUUAUCUUUCAGAGCCAAGUGCCUAGCGCAUUCUCAAGUAAGACUUCACAUAAUAUGACAAUAUAUAAGUGGAUUUAUAACUUAAAAAAACUAUUGAUAAAGAUCCAAUAGUUAUUGAUAAAGCCAAAAAAGAUUGCAUAUCUCUUACUGUUCUUAGAAUCUUUCAAUCUAUAAUAGUCUAAAUCUUCUUCAAAUCCAUCAUUAGUCCUUCAUUGGAAAUGAUGUAUCCUAAAAAGUCAACUUGAGUAAUAUGAAAUAUAUAUUUUUCUAAUUUGGUAUAUGAUAUUGCUUCUCUAAAUUUUUGUAAUAUUUGACAAACUUGAAUUGCAUGCCCUUCUAUGUUCUAAGAGUAGAUUAAGAUGUCGUCCAAAUAAUAGACAAUAAAAUCAUCAAGAAAUUCUUAAAAGACAUCAUUUAUUAGAUGUUAAAAAAUAUUUGGUGCAUUUGUGAGUCCAAAAGGCAUGACAUCAUAUUCAAAAUGCCCAUACUUAGUUCAAAAUAUAAUUUUCUAUUCAUCUCUUUCUUUAAUGCAUACUAGAUUAUAUACUCCUCGUAGAUCUAUUUUUGUAUAGAAAUUUUCUUAAUUCAAUUUAUCAAAAAGUUUUGAAAUCAAAAGUAGAAGAUACUUAUUUUUGAUGGUGAUCUUUUUGAGUCAUCAAUAAUUCACACACAUCCGCAAAGAUCCUUCUUUUUUCUUCACAAAUAAGAUAGAAGCCUCAAUUCGAGAUUUAAAAUAAUGUAUGAGAUUUUUAGCUAAAUUUUCAUCAAUCUACUCCUUAAAUGUAGCCAACUUAUUUUAUUAUAAGCUGUAGAUUGGUCCAAAUAGUCAUUAAGCUCUUUUGUGAAGAUCGAUGGAACAAUCAUAAAGGUGAUGCUUUGGAAGAAUAUCUACAUUCUUUUUUUAAAAAAUAUCUUGAAAACCUUGAUAUUAGCUAAGAAUAUUACUUGACAUCUUUUCACCAUCAAAAAUAGGCUUGGCAUAUAAAAAAAAAGAUAUCAAAUGACUAUCUAUGAUUUCUACAUGUACAAAUUUAAUUUUUUUAAUUAACAAUUUUUCUUAUUUUUUGACAAAACCUUCAUCUAUAAAAUAGGUUGAGGCUCUUGAAUCUAACAAAGAUGAACUUCUAUUGUAAAACAAGAUGAGAGAUCUGAAGAGAGAAUAGGAUCUUUACUAAGAAUUAAACAAGAUUCUAAUUACACAAUCUCUAUUAUAGGUGGAGAAAUUUAUUUUUCAGUAAAUUUUCUUCUUUAACAACCAUGCUUCUCAUUUUGUGAUUACAUUGUUUCUUUGGAUAAUAUUAAGUAAUAUGUUUAACUUCUCUAAAAUAUAAGCAUAAGUCCUUUUGAUUUUGUCUAAUAUUUUUCUACUUCAUAAGAGAUUUUAAACGUACUAUAUCAAUUUGCAUUGUUUUUGGCCUUCAUGAAUGUGUUUUUGAAAACUUAGGAGCUACCUUCAUUAUUUGAUUUAUUCUUCUAUAGCCAAGUCUUUAUUCUUGAUGUCUUUCAAAUAAUUGAUUGUUUCAUGUAAUGGCUUGAGUAAUAAAUUGUUCCAAAAAUUUUACCUUUAGUAUUUUCAGUAAUAAAUCUUUGAUAUUAUCCUUCAACUUAUAUUGAAUUUUUUGAUAAGGACUUUGUUAUUUAAAUCCACGUUGCAAGUUAGGUUUUGGAAUUUAGUAGCAUAUAUGGUGGUUGAUUGUGAUCCUUGCUGCAAAGAUAAGAGCUUAAUCUCUACUACUCUUUCUAGAUUACUUUGUCCAAAUGUAGCCAUAAACACUUCUAGGAAUGAAUUCAAAUCAUAAAAGACUUAUGAAUCCUUUUCCAUUAAAGGUGAAAACCAAGAUAGAGCACUUUUUGAUAAAAGUGCACCUAUAAAUCUAACUUGAUUAAAUCCAUUGAAAUAUUAGAAUGGAUGUAAUCUUAGAUAGAGCUUAAUUUAUUGCAAAAAUCUUCAAAUUUUGAUUUUGUUCUAUCAAACUUUUUAGGCAUACUAAUCCUUGAUCCUAUUAUACUUAUAGAAACAAAAUUCUUUGGAUUUGGUUAUGAGGUUGAUCUAUUUACUUCCUUCAACUACACAACUUCUUGCUACAAACUCUGAAAUUCUUAUAUAAGCAUAGGAAAAGUAUCUCUAUGAUUUGUAUUAGAAAUACAUGAAAUUUCUAUUCUUAAAGUGUUGAUAAGUUCAUAGAGAUCUAGAAUAGUUGUAAAUCUAUUCUCACUUCCCCUGAGAAUAGCAUCUAUAAUCUUUUCUUUUAUAAACAACUCAAAUAAGUUCAAUAAAUUAAAUUAGAAGAAGGUAAUAUGCAAUCUCUAAUAUCAAAUGAAAAUUUCUACAAAAAAGGAUAAUCCACUCUCUUUAAGAAAAAGUUAAGUAUUAGAAAAUAAAAUUAUUUAUUUAAAGGUGAGUAAUUCACAAUCUUCAAAACACAACAAUAGAAGUGGUGAAAUCUACUCACUUCUAAAAUAAAAUAAAAAUAGUGAGUUAGUACUCUUAUCAAACUAUCAAAGACAUGAAUUUUGAAGAAAGGAUAUUCUCAAUACACUCUUGUGUCACUAAAAAGAACUAAAAAGUCAUUCAAAGAUGAUAUAUUAUUGAACUGGAAUAGCUAAUGCCAAAAACAAGAAGAUUAGAAAGUCUUAAAACAAGACUAAGGAUUGAAAAUGCAUUGACAAGAGUGAAGAAGGCUUCACUCUUUUGUCCAUAUAUACUCUUAUGUAGGAGUGAUAUGGUGAAGUCCUAUAAGACUUCUUAAACGAGUUGAUUUUGCAAGAUACAUAUCUUAACUUGCAAUACAAGUUUUGUAUAUGUAUGCCACAUAGUUAAGUUGUUCCACAAGCUACUAACACAUAAUUAAUUUGUUGAUCAAGUUUCUAACCUAUCAAUCAAUUAUAAAGACAUGUAAAGUCAAAAUAGCAUCUAGAAGGUAUUAUAAAAUUAACUUACUUUUAUCUAUUUUAACUUAUUUCUAUCUAAUCAUAUAGGUAUUUAUUAGAAUAUCUAUGUAUAUUUGUGAUAAUAAUAAAAUAUCAUUGUAAAAUUUUAAUUCUUUUGAAAGAAUUAAGAUUGGAUGCAUUGAUAACAAAAAUUUGAGGUAGUAAAUUAUAUUGAAUUUAUAAUUAUAGAAUCUUAAUUUUUUUUAAUAAAUAUGAUAUAAUGGAUUAAAAUAUUUUUAUUUAUAUAUAUAUAUAUAUAUAUUAAUUUAUAAUUUUAUUUUAAAAAUUAUAUAUAUAUAUAUAUAUAAUAGUUUUAAAAUUAUUAUUAAUUGUAGAUCAAUUAUUAAAAAAAAUUAUUUAAAAAAUAAUUGAGUUAUACUUAUCAAAUGAAUUUAAUUAGUUUUAUAGAAGAAAAAAAUAUUAAAAUCUAAUCAUAGGCUAAAUAAUACAAUUUUAGAGUAUGUAUGAUUAUUUAAAGUUGGGCCUUAACUGUUAUUAUAAAGUACCAAAGAAAGACAUUAAAUAGAAAAAAUAGAAAAAAAUUAACAAAGUUGAAUUAAAAAGAGAGUUAAUAAGAUUUGAUAGAAAUAUACAAAAAUAGAGUAACUAAAUAUGCUAAUACAAUGUACAAGUAUAAGAAGAUAGCUUAACAAAGCCCAUUAGCAAGUACAAUCUACUUAAAAGAUAUAUUAUUAAAAUUUAAGGUAAAAUCAAAUAAUAAAGUCUAAAUUAGUAUUAUCUUUAAAAUAUAUUUUUAUUGAAUUAAUAUAAAAAAUUACAUGAUAUAAGUCAAAUUUAAUAUAAAAAUUAAAAUAAUUUAUUGAUACAAUAGAAUUUAAUAUUCUUUAUGGCUUUUAAAGUUGUUAAAAAGACUAUGCAUUUAAAAUUAAAAAGUAGAUCUAUUAGAUGAUAAAACUUCGAUGUACAUUUAUUUUAUAAAAACUUUCUUAAUAUUAAAAAAUAAAAAUUAUCUAAGUAUUUAUUAGAGCAAUAAUAAUAUUGUAAAGUAUGAGUUCUAUCAAUAGAUUUUAACUAGUGGAAUUGUUAGAGGUGAAGUUUUAAGAUAUUUAAAUAUAAAAUAUUAGAAUUAUAGGGAAUUUUUUAUUUUUUAAUUAUUUAUUAGAAUUUAGAAAUAUUUAUAGAAUAUAAGAGUCUUAUUGGAAAAAAAAAGUCAUUAAAAUGGAGUCUUAGUUAAAAUUGGAAGCAAUAAACUUAGAUAAGUUAAUAUUUUUGCUUACUAUUAAGUUUUAAUUUUUUAAUUAUUAAGACUAAUGUCUACAUGUAUUAACUAUAAAUAUUAAUUAUUUGUUAAAAAGAAGCAGGAGCAAGAACUUCAUAUCUUUUUAAUUAUUUAUAUAAUUAUAUGAUUUAUAAUUGAUUUAAAUUAAUUUUAUUAAUAUUAAAAAAUCCUGAAGGUAGUAAAAUAUAGGCACAAAUUUAUAUUAAAAUUAAAUAAGUAUUAUAAGAAUUUUUGAAUUUAUUUAUAAUUUAUUUAGAAUUUAUUUAAAAUUAUUUUUAGGAAUAUUUGGAGUAAUUUCCAAGACUUUGGUAAAAAUAAGUUUUAUCAUGUUGGAAGCUAUUAUGAAGAAAUGGAGCAAGAUUUGAAGGCCAUGUAAAAUCCAUAGCCUAAUUGGAUGUUUUUAAACACCAUGGUGAAGUCAAAAAUAUAAAAAUAUUAGUUCUACUAAUAGAUAAUAGGAGGAUUAGAAGCUAGUCUAAUUAGUCUAGUCUUUGUUAAAAUAAAGAUACAUAAGUCUAAUAUGGAUUGUAGCAUCUUUGACGCAUAUAAGAAGAUAAGACGAAGGCCUUGUGGCUUCUUUAUAACAAUCAUAUACACUAUUUGUGAAUCUUAGUGAGGCUUGAAUUCUUAAUCUCAUUAGCAAGUUAUCCUUGAAGUAAUAAUUAUUUACUUAAUUUUUUAUUAUUUAUAUUUUAUCUUUAAAUUAUUAUAAUUCAUUUAUAACAACUUAAAUUUAUAUAUUAUUUAAGUAAUCAAAGGAUUAAAAAAAUUCCUAUCUAAAAAUAUUUUAAAUUUUUAACUUUAAUUUUUUAUUAGAUAAAAUUUUAGUGAAUAGGCUGAUGAGUUUUAUAAUAUACAAUUGUUUGAUUUCACUUAUUUUACUUGUAUUAUGUUGUAUUUAUUUCACUGAUAUUAUAUUUAAAUAAAAAAAUUAAAUAGAAAUAAAAAAAUUUAUUACAUUAAUCUAAUGUGUAGUUUGAAAUCAAAAAAAUUUAUGAAUAUGAGCGAAAUUUUUGUAUUUUAAACUAAUUGAUGAUUAUAGACCUUGUGAAUCAUCAAACUAACUCACUAUUAGUUUUAAAACAAAAACUACACUUGUAAUGCCAAAAAUCACAAGUAUUAGAUGAAGUUAAUAUAAAAAAAUUUAGAUUUUAAAUAUAUAUAUAUAUAUAUAUGAUUAGUGGUAAGAAUUCAACUCCAUGUAGGAGUUUCUAUAUAAAAUUCCAACUUCCAAGGGCAACCUAAUGGCAGUUUGCACAUGAGUGCUCUACAAGGCUUGGAAUUCUAACUCAAGAACAGAGGGGAUCCAAAUUGAUAUAUUCUCCACACAUCAGGGCAUCCAUGUCAAAGGAGCAUCUUUUUGGCACUCAUGCGGGAAUGGAAAAUAAGAGACAGCAUGGAAUUUUGAAGGUGUGAGCCCCAAUUUUGAAGCGGUGUUGAAAACGAGAUCUUGCCAUCCUCCGUAAGGUUUUUCCUCGAGGAUGCUUCUGAGCCGGAUCUCGGGGCAAAGGAAGUGAAUCAGGAAGGAGAGGCUCUGCUGUAGAAAAGGGAGAACUCGACUUUGGUGGAGAAGACACUUGUAAGAAGACACAGUUGGAAAGCAUCUUGAGGUAGGUUAUGACAUUGAAGCAUUAGCUAGGCGUUGCUCCGAGCUGCUGCCAUUGAAAUACUGCACUGGUGGGAGAUGUGAGCGUCGUGAACAGUCUCAAGGUUGGGUAACGAUUUAUCAGCUCCCUUGGAUGAAUUGGCAGUUGUCACGGAAUACAUUCUAAGAUUUGUUAUCAGUAGAGGCAUUCUCAAUACCCACUACAGGCUCAACUUCUUCAUUGGUGGAAGCAUUUGCGCUCAACGAGCGAGAGGGCAGAUAGCAUUGCAACUUCUCAGCCAAGUUCGCUGAGCAGUCUUUGUUCUCUAAAUCCAUUCCUGGUGCAGUGGUUGCUUCAUCGACUUACAGCUGUACCAAGCCAGUCUUGCCCUCGCCUUGUCACCAAGACACCAGUGUUCUAGUUGUGUUUAUUUUCUCGCUAAUGGUUGCACUAAGUGGCAAGGGUGUUGCGGUCAUACUAGCGGUGGUUUCUGUGGCGUGGCCGAGGUGAUUUUUACCUUCCUGGUUCUUCUCCGUGCAGCUGUGCCUGCGGUGUAGUUGAAAGAUCCUUGGCAUUGUGUGGAAGUUGUGGAAGACUUCUCAGAAGUCGGCCUAAGACCCCAUGGUUGAUUGUAUCGGUCGAUUGGUGUUCCCGUCUGCAGUUGGUUGCCGAUGAUUUCUGGGAUUCAGCGUGCAAGGAUCUCAUAGAGUGUACAGUUGGUGCUUACAGUUUUUGAAGAUGCUAACAUGGGCUGGAAGGCAAUAGAGAUGUGUGCUUUAGUUAUUACAGUUCGGCGUGGUUAAUCAGCGGUGGGGAUUUGGUUUUGGAGUUGCCGAUUGCUUUGGUUCCGCUUAGAUAAUUGUCUACUUCUCUGUUCAUCCCGCUAAUUGGAAUCUUCGUCGUCAGCACCAAGUUCUUCCCUUACUGAAUUGCUGCUGCGCUGGCCAAGUUCUAGAGUCACCGCCGCCCUCAUCAUGAACUUAUUAUUGCUGUUGAAUGUUUGUGGCUCCAUCGAGGUGUAUGUGGUUGCUUGUUCAACGUCCGCUCUUCUACUGGAGUGUGGUGUUUGUGGGGUUCACAUUCGACAAGGACUCUAAUCGAGCUUGUUCCAGUUCCGUGGCUGGAUCGGUUGUGGCAUUGCUUUCAAUGAGGACGUAAUCUUAAAAGUUCUUUGGCACUUUAAGAUAAUCCAGUUAUCCAACAGGAGAUGAAGUUGUCAUCCAGUACGACCUCCGCAGCUGCUCCAUGCUUGUCCUUGAUAUACUUCAUACUUGGUGAGGAUUAUCAAAACCGUGAAGGUGGAUUAUAAUAAAUCUCUGCAUUAGAUGAAGCUUGGUUAGAGUUUGAAUGAAGUUAGGUUAGAGUCUGACAUUGGAUGAAUCUUCAUUUGCAGAUGAAUUUUUAUUAAUGGAUGAAUUCUCAUUCAUAGAUGAAAACUCAUUCUUGGAUGAAAUUUUAUUGAUAGAUAAAAAAAUAAUAUAAAAUUCCCUCAACAUGUAAGAAUUUUGAAUUCAUUAACAUUAUAUGUAUGGAUGUUUGUGAAUGUAUUAGUAAUUAAAGGAAUUAAUUGAGAAGAUUUAAAGAAUCAUUGAAUAAGAACUUAAGUAAAUAGUUAUAUAUAAUUAAAACAUAAGAUAAUUCAUCAUUGUGAAUUAGAAUAAACUACCAACUAGUACGGGGAUUUAUUUUAAUUCACAAUUGCAAAGACAAGAUAAUUAGAAAUUUUUGAAACAAGACUAAAAACAUGAAAGGCAUUGAUAAGAAUAACAAAGGCUUCACGCUUAUCUCCAUACAUAUUUUUCUCAAGAAUAAGAACUUAAUAAAUGCAAAUAAAUACAUGAGAUAUUUAUCAAAGUAAGAUGACAAAAAUGAAAUAAAUACAAAUGUAUAUUCAAAAAGAAACUAAAAUGGCUAUUACUAAAAGAUAAAAAAAUUAGAAAUCCUUGAAAAUACAUUAGACUGAAUAAAAGAGUUGACAAAAGUGAAAAAAGCUUCACUCUUGCCUUUGCAUAUACUAUUUAAUUAGGAGCUAUAUGGCAACAUUCUAUAGGACUUCUAACAUGUGUCCAACUCACAUAACACAUGUAUAACUUAUAAAACAAGCUUUCUAUAUGUGUGCCAAAUAUUCAAUAUGUAUCAAGAGUCACCAACAUGUGUAACACGUAGCCAAUUUGUUUGCCAAGUUUUCAAACUAUCAAUCACAUAUAGACAUGUAUAAAAGUGAAGAAUUUUCUAUGAAGCUUCUAAAAAAUUAAUUUGUAAAAUAUUAUCAAAUUAUCUUCUUUAACCUAUUUCUAUUUUUUCAUAUUAUCUAGAUAAUUAUUGAAAUAAAUAUGAAUGUUCAUGACAAUUAUCUAACUAUGAAAUAUGUGGCCACAUUCUAUAGGACCUCCAACAUGUAUUCAACUAUCAAGGGCAUGAAUCUUAAAGAAAGAAAUCCUCAAUAUACUAUUGGAUCAUUGAAAGAACUAAAAAGUCAUUCAAAGACAAUAUAAUAUUGAAUUAGAAUUGCUAUUGCUAAAAACAAAGAGACUAGAAAGUCUUGAAAUAAGACUAAGAACCAAAAAGCUUUGACAAGAGUGAAGAAGGCUUCACUCUUGCCUUCAUAUAUAUUCUUAACUAAGAGUUACAUGGCAAUACCUUAUAGGACCUCCAAAAUGUGUUGACUUUGCAAAACACAUACCUUAACUUGCAAAACAAGUUUUUCAUAUGUGUGCCACAUAAUUAGCUUGUUUUACAAGCUAUCAACACAUGGUUAACUUGUUGACCAAGUUCCUAACCUAUCAAGCAACUAUAAACACAUGUAAAGUCAAAUUAGCAUCUAUGAAGCUUUUAAGAAGCUUUUAAGAAGCUUUUCUAGAAGAUAUUAUGAAAUUAAUCUAUUUUUAUUUACUUUUACCUACUUCUACCUAAUGACAUGGAUAUUUACAAAGAUAUGUAUGUAUAACGGUGAUACCAACUUACAAGACAUGUGUCUAACUUGUAAGAUAACUUUCCAACAAGUAUACCACAUAGCUAACUUAUACCAUAAGUCACCAAUACGUGCAAUACAUAGCCAACUUAUUGGCCAAGUUUCAACCUACCAAUCACUUAUAAAUACAUAAAAAAAUUCCUAUUUUUAUUUAUAAAACUUCUAAGAGCUUUUCCACAAGAUAUUAUCAAAUUAUUUACUUCUAUCUAAUUUCUUUAAUCUAUAUAAAUGUAUAUAUUUGUGAUAAUAUUAUAAGUUUAAAAAAUUAAAUAUUGAUCAAAACAAGCCAAAAUUAAAUUGAAAGAAAGAAAGAAAAUACUAUUCAUCAAUCAAGAGCAUUGUACAAAAUUUGUGUUUUUUGCGAUAAAUGAAAAGGGAGUAAUAUAACUACAAUUGUUUUCAUUCAACUGCUCGUCACAUUCAUCUGAUUUUUACCAUAAAAGAUCAUUUCAAUAAAUACUAUAUAGAUAAUGAUUUGAGAGGAUGUUGCCAUGCAUCUACCAUUUCACACAGCCUCUCCUCACUGGCAUUCGUUAGUGCAGCUGGCAGCCAUGUCUGAUGCGAUCUAGAAUGUUCCCUAUCUCGUGGCGUCCUCGAUGUUUUGGAGCCGCCGAAUUUUCGCGCCUUAAAUUGAACUGCGGACCAGCUGCCGUUGUCUCUGGCAUCAAUGCUUCACUAUUCCACUGUUACUGGACUUUCUCUGAUUUCUCGCUGUUCCUCGCUAACAGUUCCAGCGAGUGGUAUGUUCGCAUUGGUAUCUUGAGGGUCAGUUGUGGACGCAGCAUUUUCUAUGGUGCUUCAGACGGUGAUCACUGUGGCCGUAGUCUUUGCCGGAUUGUAGUUGUUUGUUUUUACUGAGAUUCCAGCGUGUAGGGAUUUGAUGGAUUGUUGAACCCUAACUUGGAAGAGCAACGAACGGUCGCUAAAGGUUUAGAGCAAGGUAGAAGAGAGGAAAAGAGAGAGACGCUUACCGCAAUUAUAUGUUCGGUUUUAGGCUUCAGAGAUUAUUCCUUUAGCUUCCAUUUAAUUAGGUUUAUUACACGAACUGUUUUCUUUGAAGUAAUAUGUCUUGGAUUAUUGCAGUAAAAGUGUUGGCGUGAAGGGGUUGAGUGUACAGAUGAUGUGAUUGCAACGGUUUUAGCAGAUAUGGCUCAAACUUUAGGCACUAUGGAGUUUCAAUGGGGAAAGAACAUCGCAGGUUCAACGCAGAGUUACGAGAGCAUGCUUUAUAAUGGGAUUAGGUACAAUCUGUAUGAUUGUGCGUUUAUUAGGUCAGAUUUGGUGGAACCGCAUAUUGGGAAGUUGAUGAGACUUUACGAGGAAGGAGGUAGACCAAUGAUUCGUGUGAGAUGGUUUUUCCGAGCCGCCGAGCUUCCUAGUACUAUGAUUAAAGUACUCGGCCAAGAAACGCUCCAAGAAGACCCAAAGGAGUUAUUCAUCGCUCAAGGAAAUUUGAAAGGAGUCGAAAAUGAGAACGUAGUGGUGAUUUGCCAUACCUUCGUCGUUCUAUCGUUGAAUCUGGUUCAAUUUUUCGACUCUGAUUAACUGCUUCUGUCGUUGCAAUUUCUUUGCUCUAACUCACCACCUCCUCUCUGGUUCAGGAAGUCAUCCUUGGAAAAGCAAGAGUUUUGUGCACCGCCAAGAUUCCAAAGAAUCCUGCACCUUCUGAAUCUCUCUUAGAGAACGCACACUUCUUUUUCAAUAAGGCGUAUGAUGUGUCUAAUAAGAGGCUCGUGGGUAUUGAAAGGAUCGACAAGUCCCUUGGUAAGCUGCAAGCCCUAACCUGAUGUAAAGCUCUGUUAUUGAGGUCAUUCACUUAACUGCCGUUGUUAUUACGCCUUAUGUGCACUUUUCAUAUCAAGCUUAGUAUCGUCUUUGAGAUUUCGGUUUUCUUACAUUUCUGAGUUUCGAUAUGUGUUCAGCCAGCAGGUUUAUCAAUAAGCCAGAAUGGCUUGAGGUCGCUGAGCAACCUGUAAGUAAAUCUCCCACGGAUGCUGAAAACGUUUCAAGUGCUUCUCCGACCACAUGUAAUUGUAGUUCUUCAUCUGACGACAGCCUUCAAAUGUUGGCUCCAAUCUCAAAUGUCCACUUAGGAAACAAUAAGAAACGGUCGUUCUCUAACAAAGCCACGUUGCAAUCGCUGAGCUGUCGACAUGAAGACGGCUUUGAUUCUGCUAAUCAAUUGAAGAGAUCGAAACUUUCAUUUAGGGAUGACGAAGCUGUUGAAUCUUCCCUAAGUGAAACAUGAGCAGUGUUUUGUUUGGGUAGAGGGAAAGUAAGAACAUGCGUUGAUGUGACCUCUAUCUCCGCAUUCCUAUGAUAUGUGUCAUUUUUAUUAGAGAAUGAUUAUGAGGUCCAGCACAAUAAUGGUAUAGUUUUAUUGCCUCAGAAACAGUCAUUAAUAAGAAGCCAAUAUUACAAAAAGCUGUUUUUGUAAACAAACUUCUUUUGGCUUCUUGGACAAUGACAUUUGUAGAGGAAAAUAAAAAUAGGGGAAUGAUAAAGCAACCCAAGUUUCUACUAAAGUGAUCCAUUCUGUUUUAACCAUCAUUGCACCCUUGUAGCUCCCAUCUUUGUUUCUAGCCAUUCUCCAUUUCCAACCAUUGUUAAGAAUGGAGGUAGGGGGCAGGAACAUUGGAAUAAGAUAACAUUUAAGAACAAAGGAGCAGCUAGGAACAUGGCAAUGGUUGGGAACGGGUGACAAAUGGGAACAACUAAAUGGGGACAGGGUUAAAAGGGUACAAUGGUGGUUUAAACAUGUACAUUGCUUUAGUAAAAAUUUAGGUCACUAAUCAUUUUCUUAAAAAUAGGUAGUAGUAUAUAUAAAUACAUUAAGUAGAUAAUAUCUUUCUUAUAAAAUUUUAAGAAAGUUUCUUAUAUGUGGAUUAGAUAUUUGAACUCUUAUUAUUAUGCCAUGUGGCUAUUUGAACUUAUCCUAUAAGUUUCUUCUUUCUAAGAAGUUGCAUUUGAAGCAACUUAUAACUUAAUACUUGAGCCAAAAGUCUUGUAGUCCUUAAGAAGCUUUUUAAAGACUAUUUUAGUAAAUAUAUAUAUAUAUAUACAAGAUUAAAUCUAUUAUUAGUCUUAUUAAUAAUAUUUUAUAUUUCAAUCUUUAUUUAAGAUUUUUUAUUUUCUUUAAAAUUAGAAAUAAUCAUUGAGAUUUUUUUAAAAUUAUACCCAUCUUUUUUUUGUUUGAUAUUUAGGAUUUUAUAUUACUAUGUUUAUUAAAAAGACAAUAUAUCUUUUUAUUAUUAAAAGACAUAAAAAAAUCCUAAACUUAAUUUUAUUACUAUGAAAAGAUAUAAUAUAAGAUAAUAUUAUAUUUUCAAAUUUUCAUACAAAUUUAUAUCUUGGAUUAAAAAAUAUUUUUUUAUUUUUGGUUAUAGUCAUAUUAAAAUAAAAAAAAAAUAAUAAUAAUAAUUUUUUAGAAAAUAUCAAAAAAUAAUUUUAUGUACUUAUUUUUCUAUUAUUCAACGUAACUUACUAUCACAAACAUAGAUAUUUAUCUAAAUUAAAGAAGUUAGGUAGAAAUAAAUAGAAGUAAAUAAAUUUGAUAAUAUCUUGUGGAGAUGCUUCUUAGAAGCUCAAUAGACUCAUAUUUGAUUUUUUAUAUAUCUAUAGGUCAUUGAUAGAUUGAAAACUUAACUAAUAAGUUGUCUACAUGUUAUACAUUAUUCUUAUAUUACAUAUUUUUUAAUAUUCUUUAAAUCAUUAUUUAUUCUAUUAACCUUAUCUCUUAGUCCUUCAUAUUAUGGCUUAUCCAUAGAUUGGUCCUUCUACAUUCCAAGAGCCAAUUCUUUUACUAAUAGCAACUUAUUUGAAGUAGUAUCUUUUAGAUGGUUAUGUAUUUUAUUUUUAUUUUUAUAUAUACUUAAUGUAAUAAAUGUAAGCAUAAAUUUUUGUAUUUUAAAAAAUAAUUAUAUAUUCAAAUAAAUGAAGCAAGACUACUUAUUCUUCAAGCUUGUUAUAAUUUUUUAAUUAAAAAAUAUUUAGGAUACAAUAAGAUCCUAGAUAAUCCUAGAAUUAAUAUCAAAAGAUAUGAUAGUGGCCUUCUAUAUAGAAGGCAAUUAAACACUUUGUACAAUCAUGUAAUAUUUUUUUAAGAUUAAAAAUUCUUUAUUAUCAAUUUUAUAGACUUCUCCAAUUACUAUCAACUCCAAAAUAAUCAUAGUCUUUUUGUUCUAUAGAUUUUAUUAUUGAUCUUCUAAUAAUAAGUUCUAAAAACAACACACUGCUCCUCCUCCUCCUUUGCAUACUCCAUGAUUGUACCAAACCACGAGUUUACGAAAAGCUCCUGUGAACGGUACCACAUUCCGCUGCUUCACACCCUGCUUGGCAAAAGCAGAUACCAUCAUCAGCAUUUCCUCUACGUCGUUCUCUGUGUGUCUCCAAUAUUUUGACGGAAACGUCUUCUCCAUUACAGGUUCCUUGGAAUCCACUAGUCGACCAAAAUCACCUUGUUGGAAAAGACGGCCGAACUGCAGAUGCCCAACUGUAGUCUAAUUGUCGUAACCUUCCAGGCCCUUCUGAACGGCACUCUGGGUCCAAUCCAUGACCUCUACGACAGUGAGUGACAAUGUUCUCACACUAUUCUCCACCCCCUUUAUUUCCUACAGCCGGUCAGCGACACAAAGAUUCCACAAUUGUUGAUACUCAUCGAUAUUUGGCACUAGUCAAUUAUUGCACAUGCAUAUUACACCAUCCGCACUUUGUUGACUAAUCAAACACAUUCAUGCAUGCACUCGUCAAUUACUUGACACCAACCCAUGCACAAUCACUAUUUUCAUCUUACUACUGCCAUUUCUGCAUCCACUUGCCAAUUACUUAGACACAUCUCUGUGUUUGUAUUCAUAAUCACUAUGCUUAUUCUACUGUUGCAUCUAAAUUGACUAUAUUUAUUAUAAUUUUUUGAAUAAAAUUAUAUAUUUUUAUUUUAUUGGAUGAAUAAUUUUUAAUAUAUAUAUAUAUAUGUAUCAAAAAAUAUUGAAACGUUUAUGUAUGUAUUCAAAAUCACUACUCUCAUCCUAUUGCUGCAUUGAAAUUAAUAAUAUUGAUCAUUAUUUUUUGUGUAGAAUUUGAUUUUUUUAUUUAUUGCAUGAAUGAUGUUUAUACAUAUAUCAUUUAAAAUACCUUGAAAAUGUAAAUUAAUUAGAUAAAUUUGCAAAAAAUCUAUAGAAUAAAAUCUGUGAAAAUUUGUAAAUAAAUACCAUGAACUUUGAGAAUGCAAAAUAAUUGGUAAAAUCUGCUCAAACUUCUUCAAAGUCUACUUCAACCACAUUCAAAUGUCCAAAUUUAGAUGAUUUGUAGAUUCAUCUAAUAAGAAAUUGUUACGACUCAUAAACAAAGCAUAAGAAAGUGCUAUCUUCAUUCUCCAACUUUCAAAAAAUCAUAUCUCUUCUUGUUUUAAAUUGUUUUCGUAAAUUCAACACAAAAGAUUUGUACUACUUCCAUCUUAAGAUUGUUAACUACAGAACUAAGAAAGAUAGCCUUGUUCAACCCAUAGCUUCUUGUCUCUUGUGAAUAUCCUUUAAUGGCUUACCUCUACCAUCUUCUUAUUGAAAUAAAAUAAAAAUAUUGACACCAUAUUUUAUAAAUUAUUCUUUUUUUAGGAAUAUCUUUUAAUUGGUUACGCUUAUGACAACUUAAAGCAAAAUUAUGUAUUUAUCAAUAUUUCCUCUUGUCAGAUGAUAUACAUUUAAAUGUGUUGGAAUUUUAACAAAUUGUUAAAAUCCUAUUUUAGUUCACAAUGUUAAUUUUUUUAAUUUUAAAACAAAAUAAUUAUAUUUACCUCUAUAAUUCAAUUCCAAAGUUAAAUAUGCAACAAGUUUUUGAUUGUGAAUUCUUACAAACAAAGAUUUAAUAAAAAUAUUUAUUAAGUAGGUAUGCAAUCCAAGAUGCUGAUAUGUAACCAAUUUGAAAUAUUGCCACUAAUUAAUUUCUUUACCAAGGUAUCAUGUGACAUAUCUCUCAACUUUCACACAAUAACAACAGACCUAAUAGGUUUUUAAGUCCAUCUUUCUUCCUGUGUCUAAGAUUAUCGUAGUGUAUGCCAAAAUGAAAACCAAAUAAACUAUAGAUUUGUCUUUAACAAGGCUAUCUUAGUUCUGUAGUUAUUUCUUUACUAUAAAAUAAUUAUUAUAUAAUUUUUAAAGUGUGCAAACUUCAUGAUAGUAAAUAGAAUUUCCUAACCAAUGAAAUACAUAUAAUCACUCUCCACUAGAAAGUAACUUUAAAAAUUUAUAUAAUAAUACAAAACAGAAAAGUAUGUUGUUUUGAUAGAUAACUUCUCAAUUCAUUUACAACUAUUUUUGAAAAGUUAUGUGACACAAUAUUGUCGAUAAAAUUCUUAGCUGUAGAAUAUAGUCUCUGCAAAGCAUAACCAUGCGCCGCAACCUAGAGUGAGCAACUCAGCUAACCACAAUGAAACGCAAAGGACGUACUGUAAUGCAAGUAAGAAGAGACUUCACCUUUUUUCAUCGAACAGUACAAUGGAAGCCAUCGAGAUGAGAAAAACACAUUCCAGGCGUUUGGUAAUGACUUAUCUUGUAAGAGCUACACAUUUGGAGAGGAAACCCACCCGACUCCACUGAAACAAAACACUAGUUUCAAAAGCUCACCUGUGGCUUCAACUUCCUAGCUCACUAGUCUCGACUAUUUGGUCUGUCCCAUCCUUGUCCUAGCCAGAAAGAAAUAUAUUUACAAAUAUUACAUACUCUACUGCAUGGAUUUCAGAAGUUCGAUGAGGAAUCGACAACAAAACUCUAUGUUAAUGUCGGCCGGAAAAGGGCAUGCAAGUAGUGCGUCAGCAGACAAGUUGCCCAUAAAAAUGCAGUCAUAGGCCGGAAAAGGGCAUGCAAGUAGUGCGUCAGCAGACAAGUUGCCCAUAAAAAUGCAGUCAUAGUCCGCAGUAGAUUCUCAUCGUGCACGAAGGACUCUCUUCCUUAAGCUUGAAUUAAGACUGAACCUUCUGUCUCUUCUGUGAGUGCUCCUCUGCAGUUCGUGUGAUCUCUUCUGUCGUAUCUCUUUGAAUUGCGCCAACUUUCUCACCCCGAACUACCUGCAAGUUCAUACGUCUCGAUGAUGAGCUUACCCACCCAAUCGUGAGAAAUAGAAUAAAAAAUGCACUCCCUGCACAUGCGAAGACUAUCAAACACACGACAGACGUGACUACUAAAAUUAAAAACUCAGACUACGUGCAGAAAUGUGCGCAGCCGCAAAUCCAGUAUAGAGGACGUGAGAGCAAACUGAAAAAAAUCAACAAAUAGUCGACAGGGUUCCGAUGACCCUUACAUAGCUGCCUUCUGCAUCUCUGUACAAGACGAGCAUAUCCCGCUCUUGCAGAUUGUGCGCCUUCACAAAAUCGCCUGUGAUACGAACAACAGAUCCAUUUUAGAAUCAAUAACAUUUGCUAACUGAGUAAAAAAUUGUGAAUCUCCACCUUGGAUGAAUACUUGGUUAAUGAACAAAUUGAACAAUCAGAAGCUCACAACUACUUUUCAACAAAGUUCAGAACAGGUCUUAACAAAAAAAACUGCCAAGACAUUUUUACUGAUUUACAUAUGAAGAGGAACUUACGCGUGUUUUCCAACAGAUACAUUCGGCUCUUAUUAUUUGACCAAAACCUAUACCAAAUGGGCACACAGUUAGCCGUCGGCUCACAACACAUAAUCCCUUGUCCUAGUUAAGGUAUCAUGCGCCACAAUUUCAUGUGUUCUUGCAUUCCAUUCACGCUUGCAAUGGUCAUGCUGCACGUCCAACAACCCAAAGAACCAGAACAUGCUAUAUAGUAACUUGACACCUUCGCACAAUACCUGUAACGGAAUAGCCAGGCCUGACCGCUGUCGAAGUCUGUCAUUGGUAGAAACACUCCUUCACUAGCAACUAGGUGUGGCAAAUGAGCUUCUGCUUCUUUCUGCGUUACGACGCAUUAAAACAGUUAGACUAGCAUACAGCAUACGAAUGUGAAAUUUGCUACAAAGCGUUACCACGCAGACAAUAGCGUAGCCUAUCUUCACGUUUCAGAAAAUAUGGCACCUUUGCAUCAAAAUCUGUGGUCAAACAGACCCCACGAAUCGAUCUGUUCCAAGUUACUUACAUGCUACGCUCACAAUAUUCUCAACUCGACAACAUCCAUGACCUUCUUUAGAUAAUGGAGAGACUGAGUAUUUUAACUUGACUUACAAACGUACACAUGCAUGCAAAAAUAUUUAAAGCAUUUUCAGCACCUUGGGAAGUACUAUGCGCCCUAAACUGCUCACGCCACUAGGACUAAGUUGUUUCGCCAAUAGGAACACCAAAUUAUCUGUGCUUAGUCCCUGUUUCCCCUGCAUAGCCAUAAGGCAACAGAAAAAUAAAUAAAUAAAUAAAUAACGAGGUAGAUUAGCUGGAAUGAGAACAAAACUUAACGCUAUGACAAAGACGAGUCCCUUAAAACCUUUAUAACAUCCCCCUUUCCUGUGACAAACCGUCUCGUGACAGUGCGCAGCAAGAACAUGAAACAAAAUAACGUCCACUAAAUAAGCCAAAACAUCCAUACUUGUGAAGGAAACCAAAUUUUGAUCAAAUCGAUAUAAAGAAAGAAAGAAAGAAAGAACUCAUACCUGUUUAGCAGAAGGAGCUGCUACACUCUGAUGACCCAGAUUAUCCUGUCUCCCAAUUUGUACGGGAGCACCACCGACUGCAGCAGCUUUAAUCGUCAAGCGUGGUUGAUUUUGAUCGUUUCCGUGCACCCUGCGCUUGGCUAUUCGGCUCUUGCGAGAUGCUCUCGUGAUGGCAUCAGAGCUAUGCAUGUACUCGAGCGAGGGAGGGGUGAAGUAAGGAACUCCCAUCAUCGGCAUGAACAUUGGUCGCACACCUAAGUUAAAUGGCCCAUAACCUGCGAAGGGGGGAGGAUACGGGUAACAGAAGUUCGGGAAAUAACCACUCAUAUUCUCCAUAUACCCCAUUGUAUAAAUAUCCCCGUUAGGAGCAUUGCGAGUCCACUCGUACUGUCCUCGAAUUGGCAAGUUCGGUACAAUAAGCCGAUUUUGGUCCGCAGCUACACCGCCAGUCUGCUGUGUUUCCGACUCUGCAGUACCUGAAAGCCCUCGAUCCUGGGACAUAUUUUCUAGACUUGGAACUACUGCGCCUUCCUUCGCCUGACCAUUAACUAGGCAGAACUGCUCCAAGCCUCGGGUGAAAGAAUCUGUGUUUACAUCACCAGCAACUGGGACCCCACUUUCCUGAAAAUGCUUCACGAAAUCAACCACAGCUUUGAGCCCUUUCACACCUCCUCCAAGGCUAUCAAUUGCAGUGCAAAGCGCACUCUCGUUCACAGCAACCUUCCUCGAUAUUUCUCGUAUGCUAGUCUUCAUGGUACACUCAGAAGACGGGUCAGUACCGGCAGGUGUCCGACUCACUUCAGCUUCUUGUGAUUCUAAUCCUUCCUCUGAAACCAAAGGGUUACCAAACCUCCUUGGUAAACCGACUGUAACAGAGAAUUCGCUAGUGGUCACACUAGCUGAAGGAGGACAGUCGUCAUCAUCGAAGAAACUUGGCUUUUCUGUCUCACUUUCCCCACCUGAAUCCACAUUCACCAAAUGAUCAUCCGAUUGGUCCUCGUGAAUGCCCAGUCUCCAAUUGCCCAAGUGUAAGCCGAUGUCCCUCAUCCCGCCUUGUAUGCGAUAUGGGGGGCCCUCGGUACAAAGCACGUUGAAGCUCUCCAUGUAUAUGUUCAUCUCAGACAGCAAGCGAAGCACAUCUGACCAACCGGCGUCCUUUAAAACUCCCCUGAGCGCAUCCAAGCUGCGAAAUGUCUCAUGCUGUCGACUAAUAAUCAUCUCCGACUUCCAAUCGCUCACACCUACACACAAAUCCACAGUUCAUGUCAGAAAAGUCGUCAUGCUAACGAAUCCGGCACCGACAAAACUAAUUCUCCACACAUAAACGCUGACAUGCACAGCUCGGUUGCUACGCACGCAUGCACAAGAUUCGACAGAGCUCAAAAAUGAGUUCCAGCGGUGUGAGGCCCUUGUAACCCGUGACCUCAACGCAAUGCUACCAUGCGCUACAUCCUGCGAUCUCAGCACCGAAUUCUUGACACCGUCGCGGACCUAAAGGCGGCAAACAAAUGGCAAGAACAUCUGACGACAACACUCCUACGAACUGCAGCAAAGAUGAUGCAACAACUCUCCCUCGCCCUCACUCAAACCCCCCCCUACCUCGGCCCUCCCUUCCUCCAGCGACAUCACCACGGCUCCUCAAAUUUCAGCAACCACUUCCUUCCUAGCCCACCGCUGGUCAGCGUAAACCUGCUCUACGACCUCUUCACUCUACCCCCCUAUAACAACUUCAUCACGCAGCUUACAACACUCCAUCAUUCUGAAGGCCAGGAUUAACGACGACACCCUCUCCCACGAGUGUUCAAUUGAGGUUCGCUUCAGCAAGAACGCGACAGAACCCUCAAUCCAGAAACAAAACCGCUCAUCCUCAAAUCAUACUCGCCGCUUCGCGAAAAUGCUCUCGAGAACCUCUAAGAAACGGCAACAAAAAACCCACCGCCAACCUAGGGUUUAAGAUCCACCGCUUCAAUAUACAGACACUUAACCAGCUUCCGUCCCGUCCAACCGCGAAAAGCCGCACAAAGCCGCACCGACUGCACCUACAGAAUUGCGGUUUAUCCCGCAUUCGACUGCAUGAAAACGAGGGCUCCCAAAGAUCGUGGCGCCAAGCCGAGAAUAUAAUAAAUUAAGGGCAGAAAGAGAUAAAAACCCUCGCAGAACAGCACUGCAGUCACGCAAAGGGCGACCUGGAAGCUACGGAGGUUAGGUGUCGAGUGGAGAAGGAUGGAAUGGGAUACCUGCGCGCUGGGCCGAGGGGGCAGCAGGGCGUCGUCGUCAUGGGCCCCUAGCGGAACCGGCGUUUCCGUCGGUAGCCAGAUGGAGCGUCGCCCAGGGACGAGACCAGUCGAAGAUCCUUCCUCCGUCCUUGCUUCCUCUGCUGCUGCUACGCUUCCUAUCUAUCUGCGAGAAGCGGAGAGCGCCAGAUGCCAUAUGCAUGCCCAUGAAGCCUCCCGCGACCGAUCUGCCAGGCUCGCCACCAACCUCGACUCCCCAAGCCUCAUCACGGCUCUCCCUCUCCCUCCCCGGCACCACCGCCCUCGCAGCCAAAGGGCGGCCCAGAGGAAGGGUGGAGGUGGGGUGGUGGGAGUCCUCCGGGGCGUGGAGAUGGGGCAUGCAACUAUGACUGUAGCCAUUCACUACUCCCCCUUCACUGUGCCUGGCUCUGUUUCUUCUUCGUAGGCAGAGCCCCCUAUCAAUCAUGCCCCACACACAUCCCCCCCUCCCCCCCCCGCUCUGGUGCUACUUCUGCUCCUGUUCCUACUCCUGCUGUGCGUGUCGAGCUGAGUGGGUGGUGGGUGCUGGGGCAUACGGCACGGUCACAGGCGCCGAGCGGGGGGGGGCAGGAGGGGAUCACUACUUCAUUUUCAUGAUGCAGAGCAUGGAGGCCACGUGGCAGAUUCCAAACUGGACUUUAAUUACCUCCGCCCUGUCUGGGUGGGGUGGGGGUCUUGGAGGGGGUGUCUCUGUGGGGGAGUCUUGGGGCAUCUCGGUGGAGCGGUCUUCCUGUGCUCCUUCAUUCAGAGUAUUUCGAUCUCAAGCUUGAUAUGGUCUUAAUGAUGAGAAUACAUAAUUAAUUGGUAUUGAGCUCACUCACAAUUCUGAAACUAUUUCAAGAGCUUUGUUAAAGGUUGCCGAUUUUUUUUAAAAAAACAUGAAAUGGUAGAAGGAAAAAAAAUAUAAAAAAAAAUAUAAAAAUACAUCCAGAUGUAUGAUUUACAUUUAUCCAUCUUUAAUUUUAUGAGUUUUAUACUGUUAACCGUCUACAAACAUCCAAGCUUUUUUCAUUUUUAUAUUCGGCUUUUAAAAAAAAAUGGCUCUUUGUAUUGUGAUUUAUUUAUGGAUUAAAUUAAUAGAAUUUGUGGAAGUUUUGUUUGAAUUUUAGGCAUCUAUUCUUAUAAAUUUUUAUAUGUUGAUAAUUAGAUAAAAGACUAAGCUAUUCAAAAUAAUUUCGUUGUGAAAAAAAGGAACAUGAUUUGAAUUAUAAUUAUUUUAAAAUAUUCUUAAUUUAAAAAAUAGUGCUAAAUAAUAUGUAACAGUUUCUAUGGAAUAAUAACAAUUUAAAAUUCUCCUACUAAUAUAUUGCAAAACCUGAUUGCAUAUACAAAGGUUUCGUUGAUGUCAACAAUGUGAAAUUUACUGUCAAAUUUUAGCAAAACCUGAAACAACCCUUUUGCAUUUGUGUAUUUUGAAAUUUAUGUGUACAAUAUAAAGUAGUGGAGAUAAAUCUUGUUGGGACGAGCAUUUACAGUUCACUUAAGUAGUAAAUAGGAUUUCAUGAAGAGAUACAUUUAGAAGCUCCAUUUUUUAAUACAACUUGCCUUUAUGAAUCUUUUUUCUGUAGUAUUAUAAAAUAAGCAAAUAAAUGUAUAAAUAGUUUGCCUAUAAAAUAUAUAUGAUACAAAAAAUAUUACUUGUGGCAUAUUCUAAUUCAUUAAUCAAUAAAAUGUAUGUUGGUUAUGAUUAAGGUUGAAUAUAAGACCUUCUAGCUGAUAAUUUUUUUGAUGUUGAUGUGCAAUGACCUUAUAUUGUCAAGGGUAUAAGUGUAAAUAAAAUUUUCAAAAGAAAACACACUCAUGUACAAUUGAGAAAGAAGAAAAAACACUUAAAAUGAAUAAAUCUAUUUUUUAUUACAUAAAUAAAGAAAGAUUUAUUUUCUCCAUUUCUUGUUAUAAGUUCUAAAAAUUUGUGCAAGUAAAACAUAAUAAUAUUAAAUAAAAUUAAUACUAAUUCUACUUCAUCUAAUUGCUUCAUAUAAGCCUGCAAAGGCUCUAUCUCUAAACAACUUGAAACUUCAAAAAAGUUGUAACUUAAUACUUCGUGAGCUGACAUUAACAUGCAAUUUAAAAUCCACCAAUUCUAUAUAUGUUCAUAGCAAUUUUCACUAGAUUAUAAUUACAUAUACAUGUAAAGACUAUAAAUUUGUCCAAUAUGUAAUACUCCAGUUCACAACAUGGGUCGAAUGAUACAUUUAUAUACAUUGACACCUGGAUAUCAAUAAAUAUAUAUAGAUAUAUGUAUAUAGAUAUAUAUAUAUAUAUAUAUAAGAAAAAAAGAAUAGAUCUGCCGUGUCCGCAACUUCCAAGGCAACUUUGAAUUGAAUGGCUGUCGUUUCAUCUUUUACCGACAUCGACUUAACAGCAUGAUCCACCCACCGUGAUCAGCCGAGGAAUUUGUCCCCUAGGCCUGGGCUUGCUCUUCGAUGCCUCAGCUCCGGAGCUGGUUUUUUUUCUGCAACCACAAUGUUUAGGGCUGGGUUAGUGUGGGUUUUGGCUAGCUCAGCCAGCUCCAUCCGUCAGGAUACGUGGAGAAGCCAUUUGCAUUGAGGAUGAAGCAGCUGAAUACAGAGUUGCGAGUCGGAUUCGCAGUACAUGUUUUGAAAUGUGGCAGUUGAAUCGAGGCGACGGGGAGUUUGGGUACAAUGUUGAGGCGCGAGGAAAGUGGUGGAGAGUUUGUGUGGACAGCCUGAAGGUGGAGCUUGUGGCAACACAUUGGAAGCGAUGGCAUCGGACCCAACCCUAUCUGGCUGGUCCAAUCAUUGAAACAGUCUGCUACCGAGUUGGAUUUUCAGCUGGCUGAAGGUGGCUGAAAGGUAUGUGUAUAUUCUCUUGCAUACCUUUGUUUGAUAGUGUACACGGGUUACAAUCCUCCCUGUGCUCCGUAACCGAGUGUAGAGUGGGGAAUUCGGACCUGGGUUUAGGUUGUGGCCAGGUGGUUGCUGGAUGAUUGUGUAUGUUUUCGAUCGCAUUAUGUAAAGUCCUUGCAUUGGUUAGGAUGUUCACAGUGAUGCCAAGACGUUUGAGGAGAGAAAGGCUGGACAUGUAAUUCUGCCUAUAAGUACAUCCUUCCACAAGAUUUGGAUUGGAUUGGAUUAAAAUGGUCUUCUGCACAGUGAGUUUUGGCUGUGUGGUUUCUAUUACACUGUUUGGUAUUAGGGUUUCGAUUGAAGUUCUUACUGUUUUAUGAGCAAUUUAUAACUGCUGUCCUGAGCAUGUAGCUGUUAAUCAGAACUCUUGUUUUGUGAAGGUGCACAAGAGAACAGCCAUGGUUGAGUGAGCAUCUGGAAAGUAUCAAAUUCAUUUACAAGGAAUUUUGGACGGCGGUUUAUAAAAAGCAGGUCGACAACCUGAUAACAUACCAUAAGGUUUGUUUCCACCAGAUUCUAGGCUUGUAUCCUGUUGAUUGGUAGUCAUCCUUACUGUUACAUUGUUUUAGCCAUUCCCUUAUCCAUCUAGAUGCAAUCUGAACCACGAUUUUAAAACAUUACAGAUUGAGAUUUAUAAAACGGGUUGACAAGCUGUUUUAAGGGUCUUUAAAACUUUAUUUUCUGUUACCGGUGAUACACUUGCUGUGUGGGGUGUGUUCGUAUUUCAAAGUAAUCAUCAUAGAUGGCUUACUUGUGUAUCUAUAUACGCGCAUCCUCUCGCUGGAUCCCAACAUGAGUCACCAGUGGCUGAUAAUGCUGGGCGUGCCUCAAAUGCUGCAGGGCAAUACCUGCACUUCCCUUGUGGUCUCAUUUGUGGUGCUUUGACCAACUUAGGUGAGCCCGCUGAAGUCUCUGCUGAAAUUGCCACAUUGCCAGCAUUUAAGUUUAAUAUUAUGAUUCUAGAAAGAGGACUUUAAAGUAAAAUCAUUCAAGUAAUAGAACUCUGCUGCAUUAUGGUUGUGAACCGAAAAACAAAACUCUCGUUAUAUUUAUAGGCCAUGUGAAGGUUAAGUUGCACGUCGAGAUCACUUUAUAAAUGUUUGAGUGAUCUACUUUCGAGUAAUCUGUAAGAAAAACAAGUUCUUAAAUGUUUAUCGCAGGCAUGCAUGACAGAUCCUGAACAUUUGUGGUUGAUUGCGUUUUUGUAGGUGCUUUCGUGGUCAGAAUCAAAGUGUAACAUGUCUUCGUCGCAAUGAUGUCAGAUAGCUGCCCAGGGUUUCGCUCAUCGGUGAAACAUUGUGCCGCAGUUUGACAGAUCCUCACAAAUUUCGUUAAGUCCUUACGAGACAUCAGUGCGGUUGAAGUGCUAAUUUAGACAAAGCAUAUGAUAAUAGUGAUGGCAUUCGUAUUUAUUGAAUUCAAAGUUUGAAUAAUGAAGCUUCCUGUUUCGUGUAAGUACAGAUUCUUUUGCCUAUAUCUUCAACCUAUCUUUUUAUUUCAUGUUCGUUGGACUCACUAUUGGUGUCUUAGUUUUUAGCCUAUAGAUAAGAGUUGGUUGUGUUGUACUUGCACCAUGUGGAUUUGUCACUAUCUUCAGAAGCACUGGCCAUUUGUUUAUUCGUGUCAAAACUCUGAAUAGACUGUCAAAAGGUUUACAAGUCCUUACGUGGAACAUAUGUUAGAGAAGCGGGGUCUUUGAGCCAAGGAGUUCUUCGAACGAAUGUAAAUGCUAAUGUACAAGCAUAUCUGAUUCGCUGAGGAAAUUAUUGCCUCAAGAAUAUGCAAUUCCGAGAACGAGCUCGUCAGAAUGCUUUCAGGGUCCAGUUUGUUCAGCUAUUGGGCAACCUCACUCUCUAAUGGACUUCCAAGAUAAGCAUUUAGAGAUGUCACUAAUGUUCAUGACCAGUUUCAUGUGACCUAAUUGAAUUGUACACCUAUUUUAUUGUCCUUUGUACACAUUUCCUGAAUAUUGUGCAACGUUUAGUGGUGAAAUAUAAACAUGUUUCAUACUCCAGUUGGACAUCUUCUCUUCAUCAUAACCCUCUCCAAAGUACUGAGUAUUAGUACAUCUUCGCCAGAACAGGUGCUGCACCAGCCUGUCAAAUCUCUAUUGGAGCAACAGCGGUCCUUGACUUUCAACAACAUUAGAGUCAGUUGACCUAGUUUCACCAUUGCUAUGGUAUGUUUACUGAACUGCAGGGCUGAAGACACGCAGAUCGAAGAUGAAGGAAGAAGAGGACAGAGAUGCUAUAAGUUCUGCCAGAUCUUCCACAAGCUUUUCCAGAAGUCUCGAUGUUUCCCAAAAACACGUCUUGAAACUGGUUGGCAACUAUUGGUUAAUGUUAAUUAUCUUAGCUAAAUCUAAGAAACAAGCGUGCAGGAAUCCGAAAGGUAAGUAUACUUCAUUUUCUUUUUACUAUUGCGCCUCAUUUCAACAGAACUGUAGGAAAUUACGUGGGAGUUACUCAAACAUGAAAAUAAAACCACCACCGCACAAAAACUCUGCCUAGAACCGACAGUUCACAGCUGCGCACCGCGAAGACAAAGGCUUCCAAACAAAACUGAGAUAAAUCACUUGGUCUAAAACUACAAAACCAAAGUACUCCCUCUCGCUAACGACUACAUCACCAUGAGAUCAACUAAGAUUGGAGUACCAUGAAAUGACACCCCACCAGCCAUCCACUGCAGGAAAAAAAAAAAAAAAAAAAAAAAAAAAAGCGUCAAAACAGCAAAGUACCUCAGAGAGUGGUAGAUGUUGCAAUCUCUCCGCUUUUGUUGAGAGGGACUGUCUAUCUGUAAUUAAUUCAGAGGAUACUGUGCAUGUCGUCUUGUGAACACGCCAGGCGAGCUUGUUGGUUUUAUUUUAUUGGGUUUUUUACUGCCUUUCCUUAUGCUUAGCCUGGGUUUUGCUUUAUUGCAGCUUGUUAAAUGCUGCAAAGGGUUUUGGUUGCUAUGAUGUUGAGAGUGCUGUGUGGUGUGGUGGAGACUCUAAUUGAUUGCCAGUGAUUCUGUGGUUGGGGUUGCUAAGAAUUAGGCUGCACAUGUCCUUCACAUGAAUGGGGCAAUGUCAUGUUAUCUCCAUGGAAGUCCACUGCAACACUUAGUACACCCCCACAAACAGGCCCCUUUGACUUCGUUUUUUUUUUUUUUUUUUUUUUUUUUUUUUGGUGCAAAGUCAACCCUUGUAGACUUUGGGUUGGGUGAUGGAAUCCCUACUAAUUCCUGCGUUUCAAUCGAGCUCGCGUUAAACACGAAUGAGACUUCUCUGAACUAAUUUUUCAAAGGUUCCAUUCUCUGGUGGGUCGCUUUUAAAUUUCUUUUCUUUCCAUUCCUUCUGACCUGGAUCAGAAUUUGAAUGUAUGAUUUUUUGGACUGCCCAACGUUUUUUUUUUUUUUUCUUUUCACAUUUGGAAGGUUUGGUGUGAGGUAACAAUGUGAAACUGUUUGUAAAAAUCCUUUUGUCACGUUAAUUUUGAUUUUUAGAUUUUUUAAUUCUUGAAUUUGUGUCCUAUAACUCUGAUUUUAGAGUAGCUCUAAAAUAUUUACUUUGUAACAAAGUAGAUGUUCUCACAAUGCAAAAAAACAUUUCUUGUUUAAUUUGUGCUAUUUGGUGAUUUUUUUGUUAAUUUAUGUUACUUUAAUUGCUCAAUAUUCUUUGUAUACUUAUAUAUCUGUAGAAAAAUAAUUUUUUUAGUGGAAUUAUAUUUGAAUUAUUUCAUUAAAAAAAUCAUCUUUAUACUAAAAGAAAAUUAUAUUUGAAUUUUUGAAAAGGCAACAAUAUUUUUGCAUGCAUAAGGUUGUCAAAAAAUCAUCUACUAUUUGUUGAAUUUUAUCAUUUAUAGAUAAGUAAAUAUAAUCCAAAAAAAGUUUGAAUACUUUGUUAUUGUUUACACAACAUGUGCAUGAAUUUGUAUUAAAUUGUUUUGGUUAUAUUGAAUACAAGAUGUAUUGGUUUUAUAUACUUAUUUUAUUACAAUCUUAAUACAAAAAAUUCACGAUUUCUAAUCAAGUCUUAGUAAAUGUUGGAACGAUCUAUCCUUGAUAUAAAAAAAUUAGUUUUGAAUAAAAUUUUAAUACUGUAUAUAUAUAUAUAUAUAUAUAUAAAGAAUAUUGCUAAUGCCACCAUAAUUUGACAUCAUCCACAUUCCUUUACAAUCUUUGCUAUUGUCACCACAACCCACUAUCCACCACAUGCCACUUACAUGGUUUGUCAAUGCUAAAUAUAAAAAGUAUAUAUAUAUAUAUAUAUAUAUAUAUUUAAAACUAUUUUUUAAUAAUAAAUAAAUAUAUUUUUAUUUAUUUUUAGUAUUUUUUAGAACAACAUUUUUCAAACUAAAAAAAAUAUUUAAAAACUUGUUUUUAUUAUAGUUUUUAUUAUUUUUAUUAAAUUUAAAUUUCCUUUCUAUAUAAUUCAAAGAAAAGUAACAUAUAAAAAAUAUUGAUAGAAUUUUUAAUGGAAAUAAAAACAUUAAAGAAAUAUAUUGAAUGGAUAGCAAGUUGUUAUGGUAGUAGCAAAAACUAUAAUAGCAUGUGGUAGAUGGCAAAUUGUGGUGGUAGUAGCAAAAACCAUGGUGGCAUUAGCAGUACUAUAUAUAUAUAUAUAUAUAUAUGCAUGCAUGUUGAAAUUUUAUUGUCCAUCAAAUGUUAAUUAUGUAUUUUACUAUAGAAAUUACAUAAUUAAAAUUUGAUUGACAAAAAAAUACAUAUAGCAAUUUUUGGAUAUAGCUUUUUGUUAUAUAAUUUUACACUAACUGAAUAAAAGACAAAAAAAAAUUUAAAAAAAUAGAAAAAAAUAGAAAAAAUAUCACAAGUUAUUAUAAUCAACAACAUGUGCAUUAAAUUUUAGAUAAAAUAAGAUCAUUAAACUACAAAAAUGUCAUAAGGGUUUCUAAAAGCUAGAAGAGCUUACAGUUACCUUUGUUUCAUCUUUGAACCAUUACUUCUUUAAAACUUCAAAGAAGUAUUUUUAAUUAAAGGACCUAUAAGGACCAAUAUGGCUAUGUAAAGAAAUAUGGUGGUUGUGGUGUUUUUUUUCCAUCUAUUUUCACUUGCAUGAAAGUGCACCAUACCUUAUUCAUCUUGCACAAUGUUACAUGUUCAAGCAUUGCAUAGAACAAACAAAAUACCACAUGUUAUGCACAACACACUUCAUAAUCAACAAAGACGCUUCUUCCAGUGUCAAAAUUGGACAUCUUAUUCUUAUUCAUUAUGUACCUUAGUUACUCUUUCAACAUGAUUGAAAAGACACAUAAUCAACAAAUAUAUACAUAUAUAUUUACCAAUUUUGAAUUACCACCAAGUCUAUAUAUAUUGCAAUGAACCAAACCCAUAAUACUAAAUGAUUUUUUUGAGCUGAAACCCUUUUCACUCCGAACAUCAUACAUAGACCCUAAGGCUACUCUAAACACAUUAUGGCCUCAAAUCCUUACGAGAUUCAAUACUAAGUCGUAUGAUCUUAUAUUAUGAGGCAGUACACUGAACGGAGAUGGGAACCCACUGGGAACAGGUUCUCCACGUCAGCACAAAGGCCAUAGUGCGGCGAGCUUUCUAGAACUAUGACAGACACAGCAUUUGACCUAAACUUAGAGGUUGGGCAAUUGGUGCGAGCGAGAGAGCGAGAGAGCGAGAGAGUGUGAAUAGGGGGGUAUUAUUAACCAAAACAACAACUGGGGGGGAGGGAGGGCACAUACAACAGGGAAGCAAGCCCACUGGCACGCUCCCUCGUUGAUAAUACUGCUCGGCACAGGAAUCGAUCCCAAAAGCGAUUGUGCACAAUCCUAGCGUUCUGAACGCCAUGCUGUUCUGUCAGCGCGAACAGCACCGUUCCCAAUGUCAGAGUCAGGGGAAGGCGGGCAGGAAGGCGGGCAGGGGGGCAGGUGGGGGCAGGCUUUGAACACCUUGAAACCACACAUGCUUCAUCUUUUUUAAACAGAACGCUACAUUCGGGCACCCAAAAACAAAGUAAAAAAAAAGCGAAAAGGAAAGGGAGAGUGUGUGUGUGGCAUUUUGAAUGUGAGAAGGGCUGUGGUGGGUACGGCAGUACUACUGGAGAACUGCUUGUGGCGAUGUAAUCCCAGAAAUUUUGGGGCCGGGCAGUGGGGGUGUUGGGUGGCACAGAUAUUAUGUGACGGCUGGGUCUUCAUAUAGCCCCAUUGCAAAGCAACUACUGCCUCCCCCCCCUGCUGCCCCUGCCCCUCCCUGCCUUGGGCUGACAGAAAGAUUUUGUGUCUGGGCACCGCCCCAGCUGCUCUGCUGUUGGGGCUGGACCCGAAAAAAAAACAAACAAACAAACAAACAAAAAAUCUAGUUUUUUAAAGAAAUUAAACAGCAAUCGCUUUGAUUCAAUAAUUUUCCAUUAAAAAAUGUGAUUGAAAAAGGAACCCAAUUGCACUUCAUGAAAAUAUGCCACAUUCGCAGACAUGGUGCUUGCUUCCUGUCUAAACGAAAGUAGUAAUAGGUUUCCUUGAAUGGUUUCAAAAGACCAUGUAUAAACAGGAGCCGGGCUCAUGACCUUAGAAAGUGGGUCAAAUAUUCAUUCCCUUUGGUAUUUGGUAUUACAACAUCCUAACAAAUCAGGGUUUUUGUUUUGUUUUUGUGUUUGUUCUCUUUCUUGAUUUGUUUCUUUAUAUAUAUUCGAAACUACAUUGGAAUGUCUCACUUAUUUUUCUUCUUCUUCUUCUUCUGCACAAAUGGGCACCAUGAUUCAGCUGCAGGUAAACACACACACACACUUGCUAUUGGCCAGAGAGUAAAGACAAAAGGAGAGACAGUGAGAGAGAGAGAGAGAGAGAGAAUGGUCCAUUCAUUCAAUAAUGAAUGAAUCCCAUUUCCACCUUUGGCCUCGUCAAUGCCCCAAAUUCAUUCAAUGGCCAUUCUGUAUGUCAGAAAUCUUUGUCAAUUUUGCUAAACUCAUAAAUCCAACUUCACUUAAUUACCUCUUUAAUUCCUAUUGUUCUACUGUCUGUUUGUUUCUGCUUUUUUCUAUUGCUAUUUUUUGACAAUCCAUUUUUUCAUAUAGUUAAACUAACGUUGUUGUUGCCAACUUGACCUGCACCCCUGCAAAGGUUGAACAGUUGACCCAAUCCUUUGCGUGGUUGACCUUUUCUUUUUCAAAGACAUGUGGUAUGAAGAUGGGAGAAUAACAAGCAUCCAAUGGAAGCUAUUGAUCUAGAAGCACAGAUUUGCAGAUAUUAAUAUUGAGUGUGUAUAUAUAUAUAUAUAUAAAUCCCCAUGUGAGUGUGAGUGUGUCCCAUCAGAAGAAUGGCAGGCUUGUGACUGAUGCCCACAAGUUGGAGAUGAAUGAGAGGCUGUUUUUGCAUUCUCGUUUUCUACAGCAAAACAAACAUAUAAACACAGAAUGAAUGAAGAAGACGAGUAAUGGUGGUAGAUACAGAACCUGCAGAUAUAAUACAAUUACUUGGCCCACCACCUCAUCAAUAUGGCCCUCUUCCCUUUCUUUUUCUUUCUUUUUGGAUGAAUGUAUCUCAUUUUUCUCUUUUUUUCUCUAUGUUUUUUUUCUUUUGAGUAGCGCAAAUUUGUAGGUUUUUUUUCAUAGUGAUCUGCAUUUUGCAAGCUCUGAUUGAAUGUUGAAAAGCCUCAACAAGAAUUAGCCCAAAAUGAUAUGAAAUUAGCAAAGUUUGGCUCAUUAAUCCAUCACAUAGAUUGAGGGUUUCAACCCCAAUUGUAAAUUCUUGACUUUGUGGCCACAUAAAUAAAUAUUAUAUUGAAAGAGAAUUGGAAAGGAAAAAAACAUACUAAGCUACUCCACACUCUAUACACGUACGAGUUUAUUUUUUAAAAAAAAGUUAAAAGGUACUAAUGUCUUCAAGACAUUGAAAUGCUUAUUUCUCUUUUUGUUAAUUAAAACCCUACUUGUUCUUACUUCAAUGUAAAGUAUGUUUCUUUCCAAUGCAGCAAAAAAGAAUGGCUUGUAAUAGAAAUCUACUUCAUUCUUUUAAAAAUCUAAUCUGGCUUCAAUGGUUAUUCAUAAAACCUCCAAAAGAUAACCUGCCUAAAUUUUGUUUACACUCAAAAAAAUUGGAUUUUUGAUUGACUUCUAAAAUUUUCAUUUGUAGAUUUAAUAUGGUUUGUUUUGUCAUCUUUACUGUACUUGCAACUAAUCAACAAACAACUUGGAUCUGUUUAUUGUGAUUUCUCAAAGUGUAUUAAGGUAAAUCAUUUUUUUCAUUUAUUUGGUGAUUAGAUUUUAGAGAUGGAAACUAAGACUUUUUGACAUUCUUGUUUCAAUCAUAGAUUUAGUUAACUAUGAAGAUGGGAAAAGUAUUAAAUUUACAUACACACAUAUAUAUAUAUAUAUAUAUAUAUAUAUAUAUGUGUCAAACUCCAAUAACAAUCUUAUUGAUGAAAUACAUCUACAAUAGUAAGCUAUAACCGUGUUUGAGAUAUAAUGGGAUCCAAGAGAAUAACCAAAACCCAAAUCUAACCAUCAGACUUUAUAUACAAUUAAAUCUGUAAAUAUAUACUUUUCAUGAUUUUAGAUUAAAUUGAGAAAUUUUGAUUUUAAAACCAAACCCUUUGCACUGUUGCUGCACGGUAGUGGUCAGAGGCUGAUAAGCUUAAUCUAACUUGAAUAGCUUCUAUUUGUAAAAUUGAGAUAAUUGAGAAAUGCAAAGUACUCAAAGGUCUGUCCGAUUGCAAAUUUCUGGUCAAUUCUUAAACUAAUUUAUUAUUACAGUAGUUUUUAUAAUUUUUAAUUAAAAUAUUUCAAGAGUAUUUUAAAAUUAUACUUAUUAAAAUUAGUUUUUGACUAGAUUUCAAUAUGUUUUAAUAGAUAAAGUUUUAAAAAUUCGGAUUUUCAAGGGUUUUGUACAAUCAAUAAAUACAUGAACCCAUUAUCUCAUAUUUUUUAAUAUACGUUCAUAAAUUUUCUUACUUCAAUGUUAAAUAUAUUAAAGUUGUAAAAUAAAUAAAGUUGCAAUUUUUUAACAACUCAUUUCCAGUACUAAUUUCUAAACCAAACCAGAUAUAUAUAUAUAUAUAUAGAUGUAUUUUUUUCCUAUCAUUCACAAGUUUUAUUUAUAUGCUUACAUGCAUGCAUGUCUCUUUUCUUUCACCAUGCCCUAUGUAUAAGAGCCAAACCCUAAACAAAUGGUAUUAACAUCUCUCCUCAUGUGGGCUUGUAAUCCUGAUAAGUUUUUGUCUUGAUACUGAUAAAUUAAAUGAUAAUAACAAUAAUAAUGAAAAAAAUAUAUCUUAUCCUAAGACAUAAAUUGAGAACUCAGAAAAGAAAAGAAAAUAAAAAUAAACCAAUACACAGCAAUUUGAAGACAUAUACAAACCUUAUGUAAAUUUGAACUCCAAGAAGAAUGAGGGACACAGUCAAUCUUCACUUAAUCCCAGUCCCAGCUAAAUACUCACUCUGUGCUGCUGCCUAUUACAAAACACUUUAGUCUGAUGAUGUCAGAGCACUGAAAUUUGUAAACUAUGACUUGGUGAUGUGUGUGUGUGUUGCAGAGUGCAAGAGCACAGCUUCAAGCAGACUCAGACACAGACACAGAUUGACCUUUGAAUGUCAUUCAACCUUGUGGGAGGAAUUGCUUGACAAGUCAAGAGCCCUCCAAAGCAGCAGCAGCAGCAGGAAAAUAAAUAAAAAAAUUACAAGAUAAAAACUCAAAAAGCAGAGUUUCACGAUUGCAGCAAAACAUGCUGAGGAGAGAGAGAGCGAGCGAGAGGCGGUGGAGUCCACGAUGGCGUGAGGAAUUCGAAGUCACAAAAGCGGAAAGGCAGAGGUUCUUUGUCACGCUUAAGAGGGAUGGAUAAUUACGUGGGUCUUACUUCGACAUGAACGUCUUAAUUAGCAUUUACAGGCUAUGAUUUGACCCCAGCUCGUCCAUGAAUGCUCUGAGUUGGCUCUGGAGGUGAGUGACAGUCCACCAGCCUCGAACACUUCCCGCCGCUGAAGAUACUCUCCUCCUUUCCUCUGUUGAUUUUUGUAUUUUAUAUUUUGCUCACUUGUUUCUGCACGAAGACGUUUUCAACCCUUUUAACGUGACAUGGCUUGCGAUUUCUCUGUGUUUAGUCCCCCUCUGCAUAGUUUCAGCAUUUGUGAGGAAAUGAGGUGAGGAAAACGCUACGUUUAUGGUUGUUGUGGAACUGGUUUUCCUGCACUUUGCCAUGGAAGUGCAGAGUGUUUGAGAGGUACAUGUUGCUGGAAUCGACUGAGCUUCAGUAGGGGUUUUCCAAUGUCAGUUUUUGAGAGCUUGCGAUUCAUAGCAUAAGCUUGCAAAGAGGGGGCGUGAGACGGAGCUUAGAGGUGUCUAGGGGUGGUAAUUGAGAGGCGCUGCACGCAGAGAUUAACAAGCCUUGGCUGUCGUAGCUCGGCAGGUUGGCAAAGGUGAGUGCACUAUCAUUCCUGUGCUGAGUUUGCUGCUUGAAGGGCUUGAAUCAGGCGGAUGGUAGCUGAUUUACAUACCAAGGAUCAGUUGACAAUGGCUAUUGUGUUUGAUGUAUUCUCUUUCCUAUGAGCGAGUGAAAACGUCCGGUGAGAUGGUGUUGCCCGAGGAUAAAAACACUCCGCGUUUUGUAGAGAGUAGCCGUCAACAUAACGCCUGUUAGUCUCCUUGCUGCCUGGCCGUUUCCUCGUGUAUGAUAGCUGUUACUGCAAACUACGCAUCUGGUGCGGUGAUUAGCAAAGGUUUCAGCAGUCGAGAGGUUGGGUCGAGGAAGAUUCACUUUUAGAACGUCGCGGCACUGUCGAGCUUUUCCACAGUGCAUACUGAAAAGUAUAGCACACUUCGCAGUAACACAUGAUUUCUUACACAGACUUCAUUGUCAGAAAACUCAAUCGUCGCAGUGCUGUUGAGUGUGCCACGCGUGGUUUACAACUAUCGGUAUCUGUCAAUGCAGCAUUUUUUUUGUUGUGGGAGGACUGGAAGCUUUUAGAUAGCGGCCCCACAUCGCCUCCCACUCACUGGUCUCUCUCUCUCUCUCUCUCUCUCUCUCUUGCACAGGAGCGUUGUGUCAUUCUAGUGGUGGGGUCUCACCACCGUAUACGAGACAGUUCGAUUAUUCAAUCGCCAUGUCUGGUGGUUUUUUUUCAGGUGGGACUCACAGCACUGGCUUCUCCGAGCAGGUUGAUCAUUGCGACUCUGUAUUGCCCCAAAAGACGGUUGUACCUUUCACGUGGAGGAUUCACCAAGGAAAGCCAUCUCCUAUUCGACAUUGACAAAAAACUGAUUUGGCAUCACCAAGAUAACAACAGUUUCGGUGUGGCAUCACCUUCUGAUGUGGCUAGCAGCCUUCAGCAAGGUUGAGGAUUCCUUCAGGUCGCAGGCUACCGGUACAAUGCAGAGCAUCUGAGCCUUAUAAUGCAGAAACAGAGCUUGAGGAUGGCGCUACCAGAAGCAAGAAUGGUGAAGAUGGAGAGACGCAACUUCCAUAUAGUCUCUGCCUUCAUCGUGUGCAUUCUUGUGUUGUCUCGAACUAUGGAGUUGGUUGCCAGUGACCCCCUUCCGGAAGAGGGUCUCGCACUUCUGGCGAUGAAAUCCAGCUUCGCAGAUCCCCAGAACCAUCUUGAGAACUGGAAGCUCAACGGUACAGCUACGCCCUGCCUGUGGACUGGCAUUACAUGCAGCAACGCCUCGUCUGUUGUGGGGCUGAACUUGUCAAACAUGAACCUCACAGGGACGUUGCCCGCUGAUUUGGGGCGUCUUAAGAACUUGGUGAAUAUCUCUCUAGACCUGAACAACUUCACAGGCGUGCUGCCGGCGGAAAUUGUAACUCUCCUCAUGCUGCAAUACGUGAACAUCUCUAACAAUCGUUUUAAUGGUGCCUUCCCUGCCAAUGUUUCGCGGCUUCAGUCACUUAAGGUAUAACUCAGUGUUAUUCUGAACACACCCCCUUUUGCCCUCAAAUCUCCCCCUGUGAAAUAAGCUGAGUUUGUAAAUUGUGGUUCCAACACAGGAAGUAAUGCACACGCCUCUUGAAACUUUGUAGGUGCUGGACUGCUUCAACAACGAUUUCUCAGGAUCACUUCCGGAUGAUCUCUGGAUCAUUGCCACCCUUGAGCACUUAAGUCUUGGAGGAAAUUAUUUUGAAGGAAGCAUUCCUUCUCAGUAUGGAUCUUUCCCAGCUCUCAAGUACUUGGGCCUCAAUGGCAACUCACUUACCGGACCAAUUCCUCCUGAACUUGGCAAACUUCAAGGUACUGGACUUACUUACUAUCAUACUUAAGUCAGCAACCGAUUUCCUCACAACCAAUGUAAUUGUGUUCAUUUGCCCAUAUCUCACCAGGCGUGUAUACUGUUUGCUGGUGACAGCACUGCAAGAGCUCUACAUGGGCUACUUCAACAAUUACAGCUCAGGAAUUCCAGCCACCUUCGGAAACCUAACCAGCUUAGUGCGCCUUGACAUGGGUCGAUGUGGCUUAACUGGCACCAUUCCACCUGAGCUUGGUAACCUCGGCAAUCUCGACUCCAUGUUCCUGCAGCUCAAUGAACUCGUAGGUGUCAUCCCAGUGCAGAUCGGGAACCUUGUGAAUCUCGUUUCGCUGGACCUCUCGUACAACAAUUUAAGUGGAAUCAUACCCCCAGCUCUCAUCUACCUACAGAAAUUGGAGCUUCUAAGUUUGAUGAGCAACAACUUCGAAGGGGAAAUACCGGACUUUAUUGGAGACAUGCCAAAUUUGCAGGUAAUUUCGAGUACCCGCCAGCCUCUAUUAGCUGAACUUCAGCUUCUAAACGCCAAUUAACUCAAUUAACUCGUGCUUCAGGUUCUUUACUUGUGGGCCAACAAGCUAACAGGGCCAAUUCCAGAGGCGCUGGGGCAAAACAUGAACCUAACACUUCUGGACCUUUCUUCAAACUUUCUAAACGGCACAAUUCCAUCCGACCUCUGUGCGGGACAGAAGCUACAAUGGGUGAUUCUGAAAGACAACCAGCUCACAGGGCCCAUUCCAGAGAAUUUCGGCAACUGCUUGAGCCUUGAAAAGAUCCGGCUCAGCAACAAUCUUCUGAAUGGGUCGAUCCCGUUGGGUUUGCUUGGCUUGCCCAACAUCACCAUGGUGGAGAUUCAAAUGAACCAAAUCAUGGGACCUAUUCCAUCGGAGAUUAUCGACUCGCCUAAGUUGAGCUACCUUGACUUCUCCAACAACAACCUUUCGAGCAAGCUGCCAGAAAGCAUUGGCAAUCUCCCCACCCUGCAGUCGUUCCUCAUUGCCAACAACCAUUUCUCGGGUCCGAUCCCGCCCCAGAUCUGCGACAUGCAGAGCCUCAACAAGCUUGAUUUAAGCGGAAACGAGUUAACAGGUACACAGUCAGAGCGCAUUCCAAACCACUUGCAUAACUCUUUACCUUUGUCCUCUUGUUUUAAGGGUUUCCUCCUUUCAUCGCCCUCAUCGUCGUUGUCAAUGCUUUUCCAUGUAGGACUCAUUCCGCAGGAGAUGUCAAAUUGCAAAAAGCUGGGAUCUCUCGACUUCAGCCGGAACGGUCUGACUGGAGAAAUUCCUCCUCAGAUCGAGUACAUCCCGGACCUCUACCUCUUGAACCUGUCGCACAACCAGCUCUCUGGACACAUCCCUCCCCAAUUGCAGAUGCUUCAAACGCUCAACGUAUUCGACUUCUCAUACAAUAACCUCUCAGGACCAAUUCCACAUUUUGAUUCCUACAAUGUGUCUGCCUUUGAGGGCAACCCCUUUCUAUGCGGUGGUCUCUUGCCGUCGUGUCCUUCCCAAGGAUCUGCUGCUGGCCCCGCUGUCGACCAUCAUGGGAAAGGAAAGGGAACCAACUUGUUGGCAUGGCUGGUUGGGGCGUUGUUUUCGGCUGCCUUGGUCGUUUUGCUUGUGGGCAUGUGCUGCUUCUUUCGGAAGUACCGAUGGCACAUAUGCAAGUAUUUCCGACGGGAAUCCACCACAAGGCCGUGGAAGCUAACCGCGUUUUCGCGCUUGGACCUUACAGCUUCGCAGGUGCAGUGCUUAACACGUCCCUCUCAAUUCGAUGCUUCAACUAUAUUGGAAAUAAUUUUCAAAUCCAACUCCGAAUCCACCUUGCAUCGCCAACCUAGUUUUAGCGUAAACGGUUCUGUCAAUUGUGCAGGUGCUAGACUGCUUGGACGAGGAGAAUAUCAUUGGAAGGGGAGGAGCUGGAACUGUGUAUAAAGGGGUUAUGCCCAACGGGCAGAUCGUGGCGGUCAAGCGGCUUGCAGGGGAGGGUAAGGGUGCCGCACACGACCACGGAUUCUCAGCAGAGAUUCAAACGCUAGGCAAGAUUCGUCACAGAAAUAUUGUGCGGCUUUUAGGAUGUUGCUCAAACCACGAAACAAAUCUUCUGAUUUACGAGUACAUGCCUAAUGGAAGCCUAGGCGAGCUCCUACAUAGCAAGGAACGGUCGGAGAAGCUGGAUUGGGAAACAAGGUACUGCAAACAGGACCCUCAGCCCUAAAAUCUUCUCCAGAUCAGUCUGCUACAGAUUCAUGCAGAAAUUCGGUUUGGAAUUGCAUCUUAGACUCGAAAAUUCUGUGUUGGGUGCAGAUACAACAUCGCAGUUCAAGCAGCCCAUGGUCUUUGUUACUUGCAUCAUGAUUGUUCCCCACUUAUAGUCCAUCGGGACGUCAAGUCGAACAAUAUUCUCCUAGACUCAACUUUCCAGGCUCAUGUUGCCGACUUUGGGCUUGCAAAAUUGUUUCAAGACACUGGCAAAUCCGAGUCUAUGUCAUCAAUAGCAGGCUCAUACGGCUACAUUGCGCCUGGUAAACUUCACGAUUACCAGCUGUAGUGCACUCAACCAGAAUUGUAAAGUUGCGUAGAGACUCGACGUCCCGGAGUACUAAUUUAGGGUGGUGCAUGAACUGCUUGCGCAGAAUACGCUUACACCCUGAAAGUAAAUGAGAAAAGUGAUAUCUACAGCUUCGGGGUGGUCCUCAUGGAGCUACUGACAGGUAAGAGACCGAUUGAAGCAGAGUUUGGGGAUGGGGUUGACAUAGUGCAAUGGGUGCGCCGCAAAAUUCAGACUAAAGAUGGCGUUAUUGACGUGCUGGACCCAAGGAUGGGCGGGGUUGGUGUUCCGCUCCAAGUAAGAAAGCACAUACUUUAUCCUGUACUUCGUUAACAGUUCCUUCUUAAAUUCCACUCGGUUAGGUUCUGUUGCGCAUGUUCAUGCUCAAACAUGAGGGUGGGAUUUGGCUGGUAGCAGGAGGUGAUGUUGGUGCUCAGAGUGGCGCUACUCUGUUCCAGCGACUUGCCAGUGGACAGACCAACCAUGCGGGAUGUCGUGCAAAUGCUUUCUGACGUGAAACCAAAAAGCAAGGGAAGUAGCCUGGCUGAUUCCCGCGAGUUGUCAGCUCCUGAUGCGUUUAAGCCUCAGGAUCUGAGGCUGGUUUGUGUAUGAGAUGGUCGGCAUAGUAAACGAGAUGUGUCACUCUUCUCACUCAGAGCUAUGGACUCCAGUGUGGAUCGAUACAAAAAGCAAGCAGACGAGAUGCGUUUUGCACCUCCAGCCGAAGAGGUUAACAUUAUCAGAUUUUAAACCAAACUUGUACUAUAGUAGAAUAGGCGUAAAAUUCAAAACUACAGGUACCGUAGAUAGAAUUUUGUGAAGCAUCAUCUAGCAAAAGAAGGUCUCGUGAAGUUAAAAUGGGUCUGCCAAUUUCUUCAUUUACUGUACCUUCUUUGAACAAAGAAACUUAAAUAAUUCCCGCAACUCUAACAGACUGUCUGGUUGUAUGAAAAACAAUUAUAUUCGCCUACUUCAAUCACGUACAACUGAACAAUAUAAGAAAUCCUGAGCUACGAAAAUGCUCCAAACUCUACGCUGCAAAGUGAGGUAAGUACAACAAUACUUGUCAGCACAUAGAAAAGCUAUAACCGAUCCUGGUCACACAAAAUCCUAACUAAAUGCAGGCCUAUUCUCUUCCCCUUUCGCCUCAAGGAAGAGUGACCCUCGCAAAUCUCCUCGUCUACCUAAAGCUAAUUGAAAGUGGUCACCUUUCAAUUCAAUAUUACUCAGCAUACAGUACAUCCAGCACUACUUCCAACUCGCUUCAUCACUCGAUCCCGGGCCGGCAAACUCUCAACAAUUCUACACUCUCCAAAAACCGCACUACACUACGAUUCAUCUAAGCUGCCACAUCUACGACACCCUGCCCCUCCAAUUCACGUGAUCCUACAUCAUUCCGCCAAGCAACACAGCCCUGCGUAUCCAUGACAUGCCUCCAACUCAUGCCCACCCACUAUUCCUCACCCUCUCCAUGCCCAUCAUUUGCAUUGCACUGCACUCACCAAACCAUCCAACAGCCCCCACGCCCGUACUUUGACUCGCCGGGCUGGGCCUGAAAUCCGAUGCAAGACACCACUCCUCACAUCAUUACCGUCCAUAACCACCAUACAUUAAGCCCUUGUGACCAAAAUAUUUUUGUCUUUCUUAACCCCCAAAACUCUGGCAUCAAAUUGCGCGAAAUCACACCACAUAUACAGAAUGCACGCACAUUGAAUUUUUCAAUUGCCGUAUCAAGGAGAACCGGUGAAGGUCUUUACACCGCAAUCCCAACCAGGUCAAGCCCAACAUAGAAAACUCCACUGAAUCCUCACAGAAACUUCAUGAGCAUCAAAUCAUUUGCGCUCUCAUUCGGCCUCUUCGCAGACUGGGAAUCUCGCCGACUUGGCCACAAGGGCUUCAUCUCUAUGGCUACUAAGAAAGACAAAAAUAUUUAGGGUUUCCGCCUCCGUCCCACGCGUUCCACUGCACACGCCCAGACACACAAGACCACUAAUAAUCGUUCCCUCAAAUCUUGUCGAUGUCUUCGUCCUCGAAUUCCACAUAAUCGUCGUCGCCGCCACCCUCCUCGUCAUCCAUGCCGCCGGCAAUACCCUCGUUCAGACGCACGUUCUCGGGCAGCUCGCUAUACGCUUUCAGAAGCCUGGCCUCGUCCGGCUGGUACUUAAGAAUCACGUCCGCCUUGUCGUCCUGGUAAUCUCUCAGACCUACCAAAAUAAUAUCCCCCGACGCAAUCCACACCUUUUUGUGCAUCUUCCCGCGUAUGUGGCACAGCCGCUUCGUUCCAUCGAUGCACAGCGCCUCGCACCGCCCGUUGCCGAGCAUCCUCAGUACCUGCGCAUACUCUUGCCCGUCCUCCUUGAACACCAGCUCCCGCUUCUCGUCCUCCGCCUCGUUCUUUCCUCUCUUCCGGUUCUUUCCUCCCUUUCCCUUAUUCUUCGGCAUCCUGACAAAUUCCCCUCACACGCCCCACCACAAAAUUCACCGCAAACUCCAACCCAACCUUGUUCAACAGCACGACGCUCUUGCUCACUCGUUCGCUUGCUCGCCUGCGGCGCACACACGGCUGCAGCAGGCCUGAAUAUACUUACUGGCUGUAGCGGACUCCUGACGCAAAUGACAAUGCGAGCGGGCCGCCUUGUGGGCACCUGAUCCCGCGCCAUACGGGCCCUGUAACCGUCGUCGGAGCCAACCACUGCAUCCCAAAGGGUGCCCAUGACCGCAGCGAUGCUUCACAUACAAGCAAAGGGAAGGGUUGUGUGGGAGCUCUGAACUGGGCUGCCAAAAGCAAUGCUCAUGUGUGAAUCCCUCCAAUUUCCGAUCCUCUCCCUUUGUGCUGUCCCAUUGCUCCCCUUUUUCCUAUGGCCCUUCACUACUUGGUCAGUGAAACUUAUGAUGAGUCUGGGCGUGUUCCAUGAGUUUGACAUGCUUGUCGCCCUUCAUUGCUCACCUUGUUCUGCUUGAGGCUGAACUCUAUCUUGUAGCUCUUUACUUUAAGAUAUUGGUUUAUGACAAAAAAAAUUUUAGAGAAUAGAAUUGAUUGCUUUGAAAUAUGAAAUUCUAUUUGGUAUGUAUAGUCUAUGGUGGCAAACUAUUGUUAUUGCACCCAAGGAAGGAUCAUAAUAGAAAAUAAGAAUAGAAUGUAGCAACCUUUACUUUCUAUCAUCCUACAUAAAAAAAAUCUUAAUUAUUUUAAAUCUUCAGUUAAACAUGUAUUUUGGAACUAUUUUGCAUAAUAUGGUAGAAAAAAAUAUUUAAAUGUAAGGUUAUAAUUGGCAUUUAUAUGUGAAUCCCACCAAUGCAUCUUAAUUGGUGGAUCUAUUAUAAAAUAAAAUUUUAUAAGUUGUUUAAUUAUAAAAAUAUUAAGAUUAGAAUAUCUUUUUAAUGAUUUAUAUAUUUAUUUGGAUUUAGAAGGUUUUAUAUGUUAGAUGAGUCCUAUUAAGUGAAGGUUAUUAAAUUGGAGUCUUAGAAAUCUUAGAAAAAAUUAUCUUAGUUGGUUUUGUAUAUUUCUUAUAAUUAUAAUUUUUAAACCUUACAAGAGUUUGCAUUCAUUUAAUUAUUAUUCAAAUGUAUUACCCUAUUUUUACUCUUAUAAAUUUAAGUUGAAUAUUGAAGUAAAAAUUAAUUUCAUAGCAUAAAAAUCUUGUAGUUAUUAAAUAAAACUAAAAAAUAUGAGAAUAAAUAAGUAUUAAAUUAUAAAAGAGUUAUAAUUAAUUUUAAAAUAAAAUUAUAAUAACAUAAGACUUAUUUCUAACUAUACAUUCAUUUAACUUAAAAUUUCCAUAUGAUUUUAUAAAAUUAUUUUAAAAAAAUAAUUUUUUUAUGUAGAUUUAUAAGCCAUAUAUAUGAUAUAUUUAAAGAUAAAUAUUUUAAUAAUAUUUUAAUUUAUUCGAAAUUAUUAAAUAAUAAAAUUUCUAAAAUAUAAAUUUUUUAAAAAUGAGAAUUUAUUUAAUCUUAAAAUUUUAUUUUUAUAUUAUUUUAAAAAAAUUAAUCACAAUAAUUACUUAAUUGAUUUAUGUUGUAAUUUUUUAAAUAUAUUUUUAUAUUUUUUCCUCCAUUAAUUUAUUUUUUGUACAUUGAAAUCAUAAAAUGAUACAUAUAAUUUAAAAUCUAAAGAUUUUUUUCUUAUUAUUGUUUAUAUAUCUAUUUUUAAUUAAUUUAUGAUAUUUAUUUGGGCUUAAUCUUUAAUACAAAUAUUUUACUAAUAUUUGAAAAAUAAAUAAAUAAAAUUUUAAUCUAAUAUAUAUAUAUAUAUAUAUAUAUAUAUAUAUAUAUAUAUAUAUAUAUAUAUAUAUAUAUUAUUUUAUUCCUAAUUUUUUUUUUUAUGAUUAUGUAAUAUUUGUAAAUGUUUAAAGUUGAAAUUAAAUUUUUUUUGAUUAUUAUUUAUUUUAAAAUUAAUUUAGAAAAUACCUUUAUAUUACUAAUUAUAUUGAUUAAAAAAAAACAAUAUAGUUUUACAUGCACUAAAAAAAAAAGAUCAUAUAAUUUUUCUAUUAAGAUUUGAAAUAAUAUACACAAGCAAUUGUGGUUCUAUAAAACUAAAAAAUGGUGCAUAUAAAAGCUUCAAAGAGUUUUAAAAAUAUACCUCAAGCACUUACUAAAUAAUAUGUAUAUCAAACUAUGGUAGGUAGUGUUUAUUAUUCUUUUGUACUAAAUAGAAGUAGAAUAAUUUUUAUACACCUCCUUGAAACUUCUAAAGAAAUAUAUAUGAUAAUAUAGUAAAUAAGCCCAUUAUACUACAUGCAAUAGCUUAAGUAAGAUACAAAAUAUUUAUAUACCAAUCUUUAUUUUAAUUUAAGUAUUGUUAAUGUAAAACAAAAUCAAAUAUUGUAAUACAUGUCUAAAUUAUUUAAAUAAGUAGAAGAAAGUAGAAGAUUGUUUGAUAGAUAAUAUUUUCUUUAAAAAAUAUUGAAGAAAUUUCUUAGACAUGGAUUUCUUAGAUAUUGAUACUUUUAUAGAUAUGUUAGGUUGCUAUUAAAUCUUGUUUAAUAAUUUUUUAAAUUUUAGGAAGUAAUAUUAUAAGUAACAUAUAUUUAAUACUUGGGCCAUAAGUCUUGUGAUUCUUGAGAAGCUUCUACAAUACUUUCUUGAAAGUUAAUAUAUAAAGAGGUAAAAAUAAGGCCAUCCUCAAACUUAUAAUUAUCUUUCUUAUAUUCUAGUUUGAAUUCAUGACUUUCUAACUUCUUUAUAAUUAGUAUUUUUAUAUCAUACAAUUAUUUCUUCUUUUUUUAUUUUCUCUUUCACUAAUAUAAGAAUAUACUAUGUUCUUAAUAUUAUAUUUAAAAAUAUAUAUAAUAUAAAUAAUUAGAAUUAAAGAUCUAUAUAUAUAUAUACUUAUCAUUUUUUGUCCUCAUAAUAAUGGAAUUUUAAAAAUCUUCAUCAAAAUUUAUUAAAGAUCUAAUAUAAAAAAGAUUAAGUUUUGUCUUUGUUUUUUUAAUUUAAAAAAAUUUAUUCCGACUUUUUACGCUCACAACAUUUAAUUUUGGAUUUAUUAAAAAAAAACUUCUAAAUUUUAAUCUAUACUUUUUUCUUUAUUUUUUUAUUUUUUUAUUCUACCUUAUACAAAUAAUCUUUUAUGAUAGAAAGUUUUAUUAUUAAAUUAUUUUUUCAAUAAUUAAAUAAGAAUAAAUAAGUAUUUUAAAAUUUUUUUUUGUAUCUUUUUUAUAUAAUAAAAUAGUGACCAAAUACUCAAAUAAUAGAAACAUCAAAGUAAAUAAGAACAAAGUUUUAACUUCAUCAUUUAAUUUGAUAUCAAUAAUUUUUAAUUCAUAAAAGAUCUAAUUUGAAGAUAUUUAAAUGAUCUAACUUAUUUCUAUUUUUUUCAUAUAUAAAAUAUAUAAUUAUUACUUCAAUCAAAAUCAAGUUUUAAAUGACCUUAUCAUUUCUAAUUUUUUGUCAUAUAGGAUAUUACUAUAUAGCUUUUUAAUUAGAUAUUAGAGUGGUAGCUCAACAGAUAGAGAAAAAGAGGAAAGCUGCA
rnacentral:lncRNA from 1 species